rnacentral:lncRNA from 1 species
AAACUCCUAAUUACCCUCACUUAUUUGAUAUUUCUUCUCUUUUCAUUUUUGUUUUCUUUCCUUUACUAUAUAAGACACACUAAAUUCAGGUUCCCAAUAAUAAAAACUGAAGAGUAUAUUCAUUCAUGAAGGUUAAGUUGAAGUCUCCCUCCAUAAGAUUUAUUUAAAGAAUAUACUUAUUGCAUAUACUUAUGAAGUGUGGUUCUAUUGGUAGAUAACAAAAUUAAAAUUGCAUUAAUUUGAAGUUUUAAUAAAGAAAAGUUGGAAAAUCUUACUGGUUAGGUAAUUGGAUUUUUAGUUAUCUAGACAAGCUAACUAUUGAUAACACGAUCAACAAUUGUACUUACUAGUGAAAUGGACCUAACCUGCCCUCAUUUUAUUUUGAAAUGAAUAUUGGCAAAAGUAUCUCCGAACUUAAUGAUUUGGAUAGAAGUAUGGUACUUGAUAGAACAUUAUGGCGGAAGUUGAUCCAUGUAGCCGACCCCACCUAGUGGGAUAAGGCGUUGUUGUUGUUGUUGUUGUAUUUGCAAAAGUAUCUCUGGAAUGGUAGCCUAAUUGUGUUAUGAAAAUCAUUGUUAAGUUUCUUAUUUGUUUAUUGUUUAUUAAGAAGAUCUAUAAGGAUAUUCAUGCCUUACUAUCUCGGGAUGUUAUCAGAAACUAAGCAUAUUGCCUAGGUCAGGAGGGGCUUUGGGAUUUACUUACACUCCUCCAACAAAUGAGGACAGAUACUUGCUUUUCAUUGAUGAGUUGCGUGGCCGCCUGGUUACCCUACUUGGGGGACGUGCUGCAGAAGAAAUUGUUUAUUCUGGUCGAGUGUCAACAGGUGCACUUGAUGACAUACGGCGAGCAACUGAUAUGGCAUACAAAGCUAUAGCUGAAUAUGGUCUUAAUCAGACAAUAGGCCCUGUGUCAAUUUCCACCCUUUCUAAUGGUGGAAUGGACGAGUCUGGGGGAUCAGCUCCUUGGGGAAGGGAUCAGGUCCUCUAUUUCAUUAUCUUAUUUCUUCUUCAUAAUAUUUUACUGUAUGCUGAUUUUAAUCUGAACACAACAGGGACAUCUUGUUGAUCUAGUUCAAAGAGAGGUGAAAGCAUUGCUGCAGUCUGCGCUGGAAGUAUCACUUUCUAUUGUGCGGGCUAAUCCUACUGUUUUGGAGGGUCUUGGUGCUCAUUUAGAAGGUAACUGUACGUGCUGUAUUUUAUAUUUGGUGAUUGGUGGAAUGUUUGUGUUGAUUGCCAAAAAACUAAUAGUGAAUACUUACAAUUUUUUUAACUUAAUUAAAUGGUUAGUAUCUAUGUUUAGGGAUAAGGCUUAACUAUAAAAUAGAAGGUCUUAUAUGUAGAAUAUCAUGCUUGUAUACCGUUGCCUCCAAUUGAAAUUGCAUGGGUGAAUUAGAUUUCAGAUUUUGGUUUUGAAAUUUUAUACAACGCUGAAUGUUGCACUUAAAUAUAAUAUAAUGAUCAUGUGAAGGGAUAGGUGAAAUGGGGAUGUCAGCAUCUUGUGCUUCUACCAAAUUAUGUAUAGACUAUAGAAUAUAGAUACAAAUGACUUUGAACUAUUGUGUUUUUGGUAAGCUAUGGUGUUCUAAUAGUGCCUAUUCUUCAGAAAAAGAGAAAGUAGAGGGUGAAGAGCUACAGAAGUGGUUAAGAUUGGUAGUUGCACCGACAGAGCUGGAAAUCUUCAUAGACGGCAAGCAAGGGUCUCUCCUCCCAUUGCAGACAGGUUCCUGAACAUUUGAGAGUUGUCUAUUUAUGCUACCAAUGUCGAGUGAAACUUAAGGUAUGAUUUUUGACGUUGGCGGGCUAAAGCCAGUGCAGAUAUAUCUCAAACAAAUGAGUUCACCCUUACAACCUUUGUAUAUUCCUGUAAGGUGAAUUUUGGCAUCAUUUUUAACACGUAGCCAGCCUGUUAUUUAACUCAUAAUUCACUCAUCCAAAGCCACAGGGGAGAUAAAAAGAUAAAGAAAAAUACACAGUAGUGCUUCUCACCAUCUACAUAUAUACUGGUAGUUGAAUUUGUUGUAUAUUGACUAUUAUUUCAGUCAUGAUGUGGCUGUUUGCAAAUGUAAUUUGGUAUAUAGUUGUUGUAUACAUUAACGAUUCUGUGAAAUGUAAACGGCUCUGCUAUAUGUUACACCAAAAUAUCUUUUCCAAAUUGUAAGUAAGCUGAUUAGUAUUGAAGUCCGUUUACAGAUUCUCCGCAUCAAACAAAGCAGGGUCAUUCAACAACUGUAUUGGGGCUACGUUUAGAUUUGCAGUCAGAGUAAAAAAUAUUUUUGGAAUGGAAGCUACUAUGUUAGGACAGAUUAAACUUAAGAAUUGACCCCGUAUUCUUGUUGACUAUGCACCAUCAUCAUCUUUGUCUUCUUUCAGAACUCAAGUAAACAGCUACAAGGUGUAGAGUGUUUUUAGUCAUUUGUCCAGGUGUGAAUGAUUGAAAGGAAUUUUUGUAUUCAUAUAACAGGGAUCUUGUGAUAUUCUGAGAGAACAAAAAUAUCUAGUGUUCCUUGAAUGCAACGUUUUUGUACAUUUUUACUAGAGAAAGAGCUAACCUGCAUUGUGCCUCUGGUGGACCAUUGUCCCAUGUGGCUGAGUUUCUUUGGAAAGAUACGAUGUCAUAUUCAUAUCAUUGUAUUGUAUAUUACUAUCUCAUAAUAAUAUCGUUGUAUUGCUCAGAAGCUUUGACAACUAAACAUCAAGUGGAUAAUUAGUGGUGUAGAGCUGCCUUUAUAACUAGGAGGGGCAAAAUAAGUGUGUAUUUUUAUUGGUGAAUCAACCUGUCCCACCUAAUAUAAGGAGGAUUAAAAGCGAGUCAAAGUGAAUUAUAAUGGAUUGGUUUGGGUUAGGACAAAUUAACCCACUUUGUCACUUUUAUUUAAAACUUGUUCUUUGAUUCUUCUUUAUUUUAUUAUGAGAAUAUAAAAAUCAAAAGAAAAAUAUUGCAUUACCAAAAACAUACAUCUUCCAAGGUAUGAAUAAAUCAUUAAUUUUAUUCUUCAACUAUAACCUUCUUGAAUGGUUAAGUAUAAAAAAUUGCUUAAGUAAUCUUUAGAAGUAUUAGAAAUUAUGCUUAGUAGUCUUUUAAAUAUUAAAAACUUUUCAAAUUGGUCUUUAGACUUUAGUAAACCACAUUUCGAUAUUGUAAACAUUAUUUAAUAUAAUUUUAUUAGUUUAGAAACUGUUUAAGAGAUAAGAUAAUAUUUUGAUGACGAAAUUGAUGAUUUAUUCUUGAAGUUCUUACAGUAAACUCUUGUUUUGUUUGUUGGCUUGUACAAAGUCUUAGAAGGGGUGAGUGUAUCUUAGGAGUUAAGACUUAUGAAGAGGUAGUGUUUAGCCUAGUUUUUUUUCUUCCUUAUAAAUAAAAACAAGGGCAAAUACUAUAUAAAAGCUCUUAAAAAUAUAAAGAACCUAUUUUUAAGAAGAAAUCUAAAAAAAUGAGUUUUAAAAAAAGCUUAUUGGCGGAGCCUAUCCUAAGUGUCAUGACUCAUAAGCUUUCACGGAGCUUUUUUGUCAUGCUCCACUUCAAAUUUCAUUCGUUGCUAUUUUCAUUUUUUUUUGUUGCAUUUACGGUUCUAUUUUAUUUUUCACUAAUUUCAAAAAAUACUCAAAUUUUUCUGUACGUGGCAUCAAAAUUCAUGGAGCACUAUAAUUAUAGAAUUUCAAAAAAAUUUGAAAUGAAAUUAUAAGUAAUUCUCAUGGAAAGAAAAUAAUAGGAAUUAUAAAUUUUAUAACAUCACACACACUAGAAAUAAUUUUAUAAAUUGAAUUUUAAAUGUAAUAUUUUCAGAAGUAAAUUAAACUAUCUAAAAAAAUUAAAUUUCAGAAAUAAUUGUCUUUUUUUUAAGCCUUAAUUUAUUUUUUUUAUAACGGCAAAGAUAAUUUUUUUAAAAAAAAUCGAAAAUCUUAUCUUAUUAUUAUUAACUUUUUUCUGAAAGGCACAAAAUCUUAUCUUAUUGUUGCUUACUUUACAAGUGAACAGGUAACCUAUAAAUAAGCCUAACACAACAGUGGCAACACACCAACGUUUGAAAAUACAAACCUUGUUCUCUGUUAUUUCUCUCAACAAUCGUUCCAAACAAAUCACGAGUUGAAUUCUGAAGGUUUCGCUACGUUUCUACCACUCAGGUUUGCUUCGCGGAACGCGAAAAUCUAACACUUUUAGGUUUUAUGAUGGAUGAUCUGCGAGAAUCUAUGUUCUAUCCGACUUCAUUUAUCUCAAUGAACUUUUCUGUGCUUCCCCGAUGCAAAGAUAGGGUUUCGCGUGUAGGAUUCCUUUCAAUUUAUUUAUUAGGGUUUUCAGAAGGAUCGGCGAUACCCUAAUUUGGGGGUUUUGGGAUAGUCUCUAUUGACGUUAUGAUCAGGGUUAAAUUAUUGAUCUUUGAUCCAAUUCUGUCAUGGGUUUUGACCUUGACGUGCUUGAUCUUCCUCGAUAGACUUGUUCUGCCAUAGUUUUGUUGCCAUGUUCAUCACUUGCUUUACAACUGUUAUUUUGGGAUGUAAAAUUUGGGACCCAAAUGGUUUUGGGUUUUUGAUGAGGAGUUGAGUCUACGGCUUAGGGUUUAUCAUUGAGUUAAUGAAUGAAAACAUGAGCUAUGGAGAAUUUUAUUGAUAGGAUACUGUAUCUGAUCUGGGAUGUCAUUGCAUUGCAAUGUUUGUUUUUUUAGAGUAUCAUGAAUACAAAGUUUGCACGAAGGACUGAGCGCAUUGGUGGAACAGCAUGUGCCUAUUGGAGAGCUGGGAGAUGUAACAGAAAUCCUUGCAGAUUUUUGCACAUAGAGACACCAUCACCACCUACUGCUUGUGGUUAUGUCAAUACUGCAUAUAGAUAUGGAAAAAAGCCCCAUUCCUCCUCUGAGAAUACCCCUAAAUAUAGUUCAAAGACAGCAUUGAUUAGCGAUAAUGGAGAUAGAGGAGAUGCGACAAGGGUCGCUAAGGCGUCCAAGAAAUCGUCACCAAGGAUAUGUAAAUACUGGAUCAACAACAAUUGUGUACAUGGUGAACAAUGCCUGUAUUUGCAUUCAUGGUUUCAUGGUGAUGGGUUUUCCACUGUAACAAAGCUUCAAGAACAUAAGAAGGUACUUGACUCUUAAACCACCAUUUAGUAUUUAACACACCGAAAUUAUAUUUAAAAUUCUUUCAUAAUUCAUUUUUAGUAUAAUAAUUAAAUCAAAAUUGAUAUCUGACUUAAUAAUCGACUAAUGUUUUUGCAAUUAUUGAUUAAGAGUCAUAGAGUAUUAUAUGCUAGAAUAACUUAAUGUCUGCCAAAGUGUUUUUGGAAAAACUUUCUCAUCCCUAGUUUCCUAGGAAAUGCUAGAAUUUGUGAGCCUUUGCAUCAUAUUAAUAUUUUUGGAGUAGUUAAAAUUAAAGCUUUUGACAACAGGUUAUCACUGGCAUUGCACUUCCUGUUGGAUCCGACAAACUUUAUUCUGGCAGCACUGAUGGGACAGUUCGGAUAUGGGACUGCCAUACUGGUCGAUGUGUUAAAGUCAUCAAUCUUGGUGCUGAGGUUACCUCUUUGAUCAGUGAGGGGCCAUGGAUUUUUGUUGGUCUGCAAAAUGCUGUCAAGGUAAGCUCUUAUCUGUCAUUAUUUUGUUUUGAUGUAUGAUAAUGUCUAAUUAUAGGUGUAGUACAUACAAACUGAUUAUGUGUCUGUGGUUGUUGUGAAGGCUUGGAACAUCCAGACCAUUACAGAGUUUACUCUUGAUGGACCCAAAGGCCAAGUCCGUGCCAUGACUGUUGGCAAUGAUACACUCUUUGCUGGUGCAGAGGUAACUAACCAUGUUAUUAUCUAUUCAUAUUCCCCUAACCUAUUUUUUCUGUAGUUGGUUAACUGAUGUUUUUUUUUCUUUCAUCAUAUUCAAAACUCUUACUUUUUUAAACAUUUUUUUCUGUUGGCUAUCAAUAUAUGUAUUUUAGGAUGGUGUCAUUUUUGCCUGGAGAGGAAGCUCUGGAGCUAAAUCUCCUUUUGAACUGGUUGCAUCACUCACUGGCCAUACUAAAGCAGUGGUUUGCCUGACUAUUGGAUGCAAGAUGCUGUACUCCGGGUCCAUGGACCAAAGCAUAAAGGUAUGUGUUGUUGGACAAUAUAGGGAUUCUAUUGUCUUUUUUAACAUGUGGAUCUUUUCUGAAAAAAGAUAUGUAAUUUCCUUUGAACUGCCCUAUAAUCAUCUAAUGACUGGAUCUUGUUAUUUUGUUUUUUUUCAGGUCUGGGACAUGGAUACAUUACAGUGUACAAUGACACUAAAUGAGCAUACUGACAUAGUCACAUCUCUUAUUUGUUGGGACCAAUAUUUGUUGUCAUGUUCAUCUGACUGUACAAUUAAGGUCUGGGCUUGCACUGAAGUAGGAUCUUUGAAAGUGGUAUAUACGCACACGGAAGAAAAUGUAUGCUACUCAACUUUCUAUUGUUUGGUUUUAUUUUUAUUUGUAAAGAACGAAGCUGAUAUUUCUUAUAAUGGUCAAAAGGAGUUGGUCGAUCUCCAGUAGAUAAUUCUUUAAUGUUUAUUACAGGGUGUUGUUUCACUUUUUGGGAUGCCUGAUGCAGAAGGCAAGCAUAUAUUAUUUUCCUCGUGCAGAGACAAUUCAGUUCAUAUGUAUGAAUUGCCAUCGUAAGUAAACCUAAAUUAUUCACGUAUUUUUUGUUACUUUACCUCCAUCAUUGUAAUAUUUUUUUGUUGCAUCCUCUUACCAUUUUUUUUAAAACAGAUUUUCAGAGAGGGGACGUUUAUUUGCCAAGAAAGAUGUGGCAUCAUUUGAGUUAGGUCUUGGUGGCCUCUUCUUCACUGGAGAUGAGACUGGUUUGCUGAUGGUGUGGAAAUGGUUGGAUGUACCCAAGGUGGCAUCCUCUUGAUGUGUUCCCUUUCGACUUUGGAGUUGUAUUAUCCAUCUGUCUCCUCUUGAAGCAGGUGAUGAUAAGAAUGAAUUUAUUUUUCUGAGCAGUAAAUGCACUGUAAAAACAAUUGUAUAGAAAUUGACAAUUAUAUAGAAAUACCAAUUUCAUUCUUUUAUAUUCUUCCCAGCAGAUGUAAUGCUCUCCUUCCUUGAUUAGUAUAUUUACUAUUGGAUUGCUCUUUAUGCUAUCAUUGCUUUAGCCAUAUCAAGAAUGAAUAGUCUCGGUGUCGAAAGUAGCAUGAUGUACUUCUUUUGCGGCUUAUUUGUAUUUCAACUCAUGAAGCUCAAGAUAUGGGUAGGCAUUGUCGCGGGAGGAAUGUUUAGGUUUGUUCUUAUCUUAAUUCGAACCAUACUUGCUGCACAACUGAAGAAGGAGGAGCAAGAUUAGCAUGUUGAAGUGUAAACUUCAGCCUAAGAAAUCUCAUUAUUGUUAUUUAUAGUUCUUGGAAUGACACUAAGAAAUCUCUUAUUAUUCUGGUUAAUGAGGGAAGACCAUUACGCGCAGAGACUAGUAGAGAUAAGAAAUGCUUAACAGUAAUGUGAGAAUUAAACUCAUUUUUUUUUAUCAUAAAUUCAGUGUGUUAUACCAACUGAAUUGCACACAUUGAAUUCACAUUGAAUUGCUGGAGUUUAUUGUUUUAGUAUUGAAAAAUGUGAUAUUUAUAAUAUAUAUUUUGUAUCUAAUACUCUCUCUAUUCUUAUAUAUAAGACAUAAUUACCUAAUUAUUCAAGAUUAAGAAAAAUAAUUAGUUUAAUUGUCAAUAUAAAUUUAUCUUAAAUUCGUAAUUUUUUUCAAAAUUAUCCUUGUAAUUAAUAUUUCCCUUUUUCUUAAUUGUUUAUUAAUAAAUUAUCUCUCUUCUUUAAAUUAGGGGUAUUUGUACUCUAAAAAUAAUUAAUGUAAGGAACAUUAUUAUAGAUUGAGUCUUAUAAAAAGAAAGAAACAUUAUUUUAAACUUGGUCUUACACACGCGUGCGCGCACACACACAAUCGUUGAAUUUAGGAUUGUUUGUGUUAAAUUUUGUUAAAAUUGAACAACAACAAGUAAUCAAAUCCAUAUUUUAAUGUUUCUGAAAGAUUUAUAUUAUAUCGAUUUUAAUCUAUAUGAAUGAGGUAGAAAAUGAUUUUGAAUUAAUAUAAAAUUUUGCAUAUGUGAUCUAUACGAAAAGAACUUUCAAUCCAAAGGUAAAAUUUUAAAAAACAUAUUCAAUUAAAAGUUAUAAAAUAGUGUAAUAGUUGUUAAAAUUAUACCGAUAUAAUUUGAUGCCUCCUAAUAUAUAUAAAUGAAGGAAGUAAAAAAAAAAAAAUACAGCAUAGCAAGUCUCGAUCCAAUCACGUGACAAACAACUGACACAAACACAUAAAUAUUUGUUGUAAUAUUAUUGACAAAUGUUAUAUUUAUAACAAGCAUAUUACAUAAAUACAUAUAAUAAUAAUUUAUAACCAAUAAUACCGGAUCAUACUAUUUGAUUAGUUAUUCACUUAUUCGAUCAUUGACUUAAUGAUCUAAUGCUUUUAUUAGAUUGAUUACUAGUUUAGAUUUUUAAAACUAUAAUAAAUAAAUAUAUAUAAUAAUAAUUUAUCAUGUUUGUGCCCGUAGUUGUUUGAUCAUCGAUUUGGGUUUUUGAAACUAUAAUAAAUAGUGACGAGAUGGAGAAUCAUGAAACAAUACUCUAACAACCAAAAUUGACAAAAAAAAUCAUUUGUAAAAGUUAAAACUAUAAAACUUGAAUAAAUUAUAAUGACACUCCUUAAGAUUUUAUCAAAUUACACAAAAUAUUUAUGCUUUUUUUAAUCCCCAGACAAAUCUCUUUUAAUUGUUCAAAAAAUAUUCCACUAACACGUUUUAUUUUACCUUACACAGUCCUUUGAGGUUUAAAAAAUAUUAUGCAUCUAUCCCCGUAAGCGAGGUCAUUGUAAGAGUAAAAAAACAGUAGAAAUAUUUUGUAUAAAGAUGUGAUUAUAGUUUACUCAAUAAAUACAUAUCAUGUAUUUAGUAUAUACUGAAAUACUACUAAAAGAAAAACACUAUAUAUCUUGUUGCCUCAAACGAUUAAUUGGUUAUAGAUAAAUAUUUUAGUUCCAUUCUAGAGUCUAGACUUUCAAAUUUCAAUAUAUGCUGCUCCAUUAAAAUUUGGGUCUCAAUUUUUGCUAGAGUCUGGAAGCGAAAAAGUAAUUAGAUGAAAAAAAUGUCUUAAAAAAUUCAGAGAAUUGAACAAAAUGCAUGUUUAAAAAACACAAUUUUUAAUAAUAAUAAUAAUAAUUAUUUUAACAAUUUUUUUAGAUCUAACAAAAAUAAAUAAACACUCUUAACAUAAAUUAAAUCAAACACACACUUUUUCUUCAGUAAAAAACAAACACGAACACUGCACAUUCAAAACCAAACCAAGCUUGUCUUUGUGCAAGUGCAUCAAAUUUCAAUUUCAACACUAACACCAGAACGUGAACAUCGAAAUUUCACGCGAAAAUGGCAACAGAGAAUUCUCAAGUUUACCACGAAAGGCAAAGGUUACAGUUCUGUCUCGUGCACUCUCUCAACUCCCUCUUUCAGGUGCUUCUUCUCUUUCCCUAGCACUGAUUCUUCAAUUUAAGCCCUAUCAACGAUACCCGCCAUGUUUUAUUUUCCAAUUUCGUUUCUUUUGUCAUAAUUUCAUCGAUUCACGCUUCGUUCUGCUUCUGGGUCUAUUCAAUUUCCCUCCAAUCAGCAAAAGGACGCUUUCACUCGAGCAAAAUUGAAUGCAAUUUCUGAAAGGCUCGCACUUGAAGACUCCAACAGUGAAACGUGGACCCCACUAUCUGUUCUUUUCAAGCCCCAUCACAAUGUGUUGACUGGGAACUAUGAUAUAAAUGUUCUAAUUGCGGCUUUGGAAGAGAAGGGAAAGAGUGUACUGUGGCAUGAUCAUAGAAAGGGGGCAUCUUCCAUUGAUGUUGAUGCACCUGAGGAUGUUUUGAUGGGGGUUGUGAUCAAUGUGGCAUUGAAAAGGUUUGCUGGGAUCUGGAGAAGUAGGCACUGGAUUGCAUUGAGGAAGAUUGAUGGGGUUUGGUAUAACUUGGACAGUGACCUUGCUGCCCCUCAACCCUUUCUUGAUACAUAUAAAGUUAGGGAGUUCUUGGAUUCCACAUUGGUGCAUGGUGGGGAGGUUUUGAUUGUCAUGAAUGAGAAACAGUCUUGAAAAUAAUUUUAAGUAAAUGUUUGUUAACUCGGUCAUUUAUGGUCGAUUUUUGUGUGCGUCCAUGUUAUAGUGUUUUUAUUUUUUUUUAUUUUUUACUGGUCAAUGUUAGUUGUUAGUUUGUGUGCGUCCAUGUAUAUAGUGUAAGACCGAUAGUAUUUCAAUGGAGAUUGUUGCUUCCUUCAUCCUCGUGUCUCUGAUGAUUUUUUCAUGACUUUUUUUUUUGUGAAUAAUGUUAAAAAUUGCUUCCAGAGGGUGUUAUUUAUAGGAAAUAGUGUGUUAAAGCACUGAUAAAUGCAGGCUUCGUUGUGUCUUUGAUCUGCAGUGCACCUUUGAACCAUUAGAUACUGUUUGAUUCUGAAAGUGAUAGUGUAUAAGCAUUUAGGCUCAGCAUGUGGAUAUUUUUCUCAGCACUAGGGAGCCCACAAAUGCAUGUGGAUAUUUUUCAAGCCCCAUCAUGCUGUAGGCGGAUAUGAACAAAAGUGUUUGAUAAACACCUAUGCUGUAGGCGGAUAUGUAACUUCAAUUUUUCCACAAAUGCGACUUGUAAAAUAUUGUCUAGCUAUUGUCUACAAGUUCUUAUAAUCUCACAUCCUCUUGGUAUUGAUUGUUCUUAUAAGCACUGGUUAUAGCCAUCUUUAGCUAUUAGCACUUAGGGCUACCGGCUACGCAUGGGACAGGUGGGAGAAAAUAAUUUGUUUUAUUUUGUAGAGAUACUUAUGCUUCAUGCAUAUCUCUAUAGUGCACAAAUUCAUUCCCUUAAUCUGUCAAGCAAAGCAUCUAACCCAUCGUUGGCUACCUCUUGUUCAAUUCUAAUAAUUAAUCAAAGCGGUAAAAAAAUCAAACUUCUCUCAUAAUUAAUCAACUUAUGUACUUCAACUUAUGAAAAAUGAGAUGAAAGCUUCUGAAAUUUAUGUGAGGAUGUUCAUUCAUUUUGUCUCCUUAAUUUUUUUUAUUUUCUUCUAAGUACUUCUUAAGUAUAUUCAAACUAGAAUCAUAAUUAUUAAAACAUGUUUCCACUCAAUUUCAUGAUUGACAGAUUGAGUUAUUAAAUCAUUUCAACAUCUCAGUGGAGAAUAUCAAACCCUUGGCCAUUUCUGGCAUGUGGUCCACUUGUGACCAUAUUAGCUAAUAAUUUGCUGAUAAAGGGCAGAAGGGUAACUCACCUGGUAUGUUUCUUUUGCUGCAUAAAAUAUAAAUCGCAGCUUGUUCUAAGGAGCUCCAAUGUGGUCGAAAGUUUCUACCUAAGUGUUGAAUGUUUUUCAUUUCAAUGAGUAGAAAAAUUGAUGGUGACAUUAAAUCGUCAAUCUCCAUAGCAUGCUGGAUGAUGGGUCUUCGCUUUCUUUUAGUCAAAAGAUCCUGGAUAUCAUAUUUUAUUUCUAACUUUCCAAGAUUCACACCGUAUUUUUGUUUUAAACUUUCUAAGUUUGACAUUUUGCCCGUAAAGCUUAGAAUUAUAUCAUAAAUGUUUGCUAUUUACACACAUUUUCAUUACAUCAUCGUUUUGCUCUAUAUUCUGUUGAUAAUAAAACAAGAAUAGCACACACAUUCUUACCCUUUGUCUUUUUUUAUUUAUUUAUUCUGCAUACCCUUUAUUAUCUUCUAAAGCGAUGUGUGAACACAUUCAAUAUUUUAAUAUUCAAGUAUCAUUUUUCUUUUUUCCAAUGCUAAGUGAAGAUCCAUCAUAUCAUGUCAACUAGUCCACAAUGGAUCAGUGGAUCCUAUUCUUUAGAGAUAAAAUAUUCAGCAGCAACUCGGUUGGCUGUGUCUUGUUGCAAUUGGAGCUUUGAGUAAAGAAAUAGGGAAUAACAAUGGAGCAAUCCUAGUGGUUGUUUUGAGAGCAUCUUCAGAGAAAUGAGUGAAAGAAUAUUGCCCCCACCUUCCUCAUAUUUAAAAAUGGGUUUCUAGCUCUGAGGAAUGAUGACUAAAUUACUUUAUACUAAAAAUUUUCCUGCUAUCUUUGAUUAUACUUAUCUUAGAUACCGGUUCUUUACUCCAUUAUUACAUGGAAAAGCAUAAACGUGUGCUCUGCAAAGUCACAAGGCGGCACUGCAACUGGAAUAGAAAGUAAUAAAGAGGGCUAGUGUAUCUCCAACUCUCUACACCUUUAAUAUGCUCCUUUUCUUUUCUCACCGCCUUAAUCCAACUGUGUCACUUUAUAUAUAUAUAUAUAUAUAUAUAUAUAUAUAUAUAUAUAUAUAUAUAUAUAUAUAUAUAUAUAUAUAUAUAAAAGAAGCGUAUCAGGUGAGAAAUGUUAGUGCGAGAGGACUAAAUUUCAACCAUAUAAUUCCCACAAAUGCUUAAGAUUAAAACUAAUUAAAACAAUAUAGACUAUCCAUAUAUUGGUGUAUGAUAAAAAUUUACUUCAUUAGAUAUGUCUCCCUCUAUAUAUGAUUAGGGAGAGUAAAUCAAAGGAAAGUCAAUAGAAGAAAAUCACCUAUUGUUUAAUCUAUGUAACUAAUCUCAUCUAAUAAAAAAGACUUAUUUAAUGUUGUUUUUGUUUCCAUAUACUUUUACACAGUUCUUUCAUGAUAAAGGUAAAUAGGAGAAAUACUGAAAGACUUCUAUAAAUGCUUGUUUUUCAUUCACAUGAGAACCUCCUCAUUCCACAGUUCCCACCUCUCUAACAACUCUGCUUCUAACUUCCAAGUCUCACAUAUAAUUCCUUUCAACUUUCAAUAGCAUCACAUACCACAGUCUCUCAUAUCUCUUUCUCUUCUGAAUAUAAUGCUAUCAUCAUCCAAACAAGAAUAAACAACAGAAUAUGAGUCAAAGUGGCUACAUCAAUGAGAAAUCAGGCUUGUCCUUGAGACAGAAUUCCCAUAGGAAAUCAAACAGAAAUGGGCAAGUGAAGAGCUGCAUGUUCAGGAUUCCUUGGCAGUCUGAGAGCUCUCCCAUUGAACUUGUGAAGGAUCUUGCAGAAAGAGUCACAAAUGCUCUACGCUUGAUCUCUCCAAAGAGAUCUUUACACCAAGGCUCGUCUUCCUUAUCAAGAUCAAAAUCAACAGGGUCCUCUAUUGAUUCUCAUAGAACUGCUGCUGUUGAGGACUGCAUUGAGUUCAUCCACUCUUCCUUUUCCAGAUCAAAUUCAUCAACCGAAGCACCCCGCCAAGAUUCUAUUCAAGCUCCUUGAGUUGAGAUGCUUGCAAUCAUGUGCUUGCUACUAUGCUUAGGUUUAUAUCUUCCUUUUUUUUCCCCACAAAUAAUAGUGAUGGGAAUUAAGUGAUUGUGUUAUGUUUCUGUACAAACAGAAGCAGUGUAUAUUCUUCUGAUGGAUUUCUUACAAGGUGCUUUUCAUUUCGGCUAAAAUAGCAUUUUUCAAUGAAUCAAUUGCAAUCAACUACAUUUCUCAUUAGGAAUAUUUUGAAAAAUGAUUGGCAGGAUUUUAUGUUUAACCAUUCACAUGCAGAAAGUAAGAAAUAAUUACAAGAUUUCGUGAUGGAAAGGCUUAGAAGAAUAUGUGAUGAAUAUAUAAUAUCCUUAUCCUAUAUCUCUAUUAUGUUCGUAUUGUUCUUUCUUUUCUGGAUCUUUUGGAAUAUAAUUUGCAUAGCAGGGUUACUCAUUCUCGUUCUAGUAUCAAAUAUUGAAGCCAUGAAAAAUUCCCUUGUCUCCGCAUUACAUGCAUGGAUGAAAGUGAGUUCUUUUCUAUAUUGAAUGAUCGCAUUAUUUUAAUCUUUGUGGGUUCUUAAAAAGUACCAAACCUGAAUGGUUUUAUUUUCACUAUUUUUCUACAAAUGAUAUAUUGAUAGUGCUAACUGCUAAGGUUAUAUCAACUAUUAGAGUGAAAGCUCAAAGCAGAAGGUUCUUUGCUUCAAGUAGUUUCUGUUUUUGAUGGUUUUGGAUCUCAUCUAGUUGAUCAUAAUUUGGGACUUGGUUUCAAUUCCAUCCAACUUUUGGAACUUUCCCUCAAAUGAAUUGGAUUGAAGUAAUUUAACAUUUAACUUCUAAUAUAAUCAACAAACAGAAUGAGGCAUAAGCCCAGAAUCUUCUUUGGUUAAACCAACAACAUUAACUGGAUGGUAGUGCUAAUUGCAUGAUUUAAUCAGGUUCAUUACAAUGAAUUUCCCAUACUUCAAAAAUCAAGAUCAUAAUCGCCACAUAAAGCACGAGCCUUUAAAUUGUAAAAGUUAAAAAUUGGGCCUGAUUGUUUUUUUUUAAUGGCACAAUUUUUUUUAUUAAUAAGAUCACAAAAGAAGUUCAAGAUGUACCCCUAAGGAAAAAAAAGAAAAACAAACAAGUAAGCCUGAUACAAUGCCAUAGACAUGAUUCUGUCAUAUGACCCUUGCCCCAAGUAAAUUGUGCCUGCAUGGUAACUGAACCAAAAUGAAUCAAAUUGUUGUAUAAACUCCAAUGAUCAAAAAGAGCAAAACACACAACUCAGGACUCCAAAAUGGUCAAUACUUGAAAAAGUUAAAUGGACAGGAAGGACCAUAAUGCAUUUGAAAAAGUACUGAUAAUGCAAUCCUCCCAGAAUCCAAUCCUGUAAUCCUUUCUACUCUUUGCUACCACCUGCAUCACUGCAACCUUUUCUACAAAGACUCUUAGGCCGUGUUUGGUUUCAAAAAAGAAAAAUAGAAUAAACGAAAAUAGAAGAGAAAUAAUUUGAAAAAGAAGAAAUAAAGAAAAAAAAUAAAAGAAUAUAUUUUGUUAUUUGGGUUAAGAGAAAUAGAAUAAAAAUAGUAUUAUAAAAUUGUUUAUUCACAAAAAUACCCUCUAAAAUAGUUAAUGUAACGUAAAAUAAGAGAUUUAAAAGGGCAUAACAGACUUUUUGGCCUUUGUUAACGGUAAUGAUGAGGGGAUGCUUCUAUGUGGGGCCCACCACACUCUUCUUAUUCCUCAGCUAAAUUACUUGUACCAAACCGCCAACUUACAAUUCCAAUUAUUUCUAUGGCGCUUAACAAACACAGCCUUAGAGUUGGUGAAACAAAUGAGAUGAUGAGGGAAGCCAUCUUGCUGGCUUUGGAAGCUAAUCUACAAGAAUACGACAAAGCCUAGAAAUUUUGGUUGGAUUUGAAUCCAAGUGCCAAUAUAUCUCUUGUGACUACUUACUUGUCCUAAGUGAAUUUUAGCUGUUGGACUGGGCUUGCUUUGGACAUGGGAACUAAUUAAUCAAUUCUCAUUUUAUGAGGUCAUUGAGUAAAUGUUUAAUUAUAGUAUUCUUUACUCAAUUCAUCUUAAUAAUUUAAUAGAAGACAUAUGUCUGUAUAGUUAUAGUUUUGUUAUAAUUAUUAUUUUGGUUUCUGUACAUGUCUAUAUUGUUUUGACUCUAAUAUAAAUUAUAAAUUUUUAAUCCUGGAGUAAUACAUUUAAUGUGUUUUGCUCCUUACUUUUUAGUUGUCUUCUAAUUUCGUUUACAAUUUGAUAAUAUGGCUGUUUGGAUGGAAGAAUUUAAAAUUCUGAGAAAUUUUAACUUCUAAGAAUUUCAAAUACUUCAAUUGAAAUUCUUUUAUUUUCAAAAUUUUGUGUUUGGAUAAAAAAAGUUAAAAUUAUGAGGGUGAAAAAAAUAAAUGAAAAAAAAAAGAAAAAAUAUGAUUGGUGUGCUAGUUACACGUGUUCCUCUAUGCUCAGACCCGAUCAAUGUUCUACAAUCUCAUAUUUCUUGAAGAAGAUUGUAAGAAGAGAAUUUUAAUUUCUCACAUUUUAGAAGGAAAUUGAAAUUCCAUAUUUUUAGUUGUUUAAAAUUCUGUUUUAAAAUUUCAAAAUUUUAAAUUAUUAAAAAAAACAUUCAAAUAAUGAAUUCUAGAUUACAGAAAUUUAAAUCCUCUGAUAAAUUAUUUUCUUUAGUUAAAAUUCUUUAUCCAAAUAUAUUUUAAAUGAUUUUGGAUUAAGGAAUUAAUAGUGCUAAUAAUAUAGUCAUUAAAAUCAUUUGAGAACGCAAUAAUGUAAAAAAUGAAGAGUUUAUUUUAGCAAUUUAGUCAAACUAGGUAUAUACCCUUGCGCGGAUGUCAAUCUUUUUUAUUAUAAUUAGUAAAUUAAAUUAAAAAUCCUAAAGAGACAUGUCAAAAAUACUGUUACAACGAGAUGGAUUUUGUGAAUAAAAUGCAAGAAGUUUUGUAGCUAACUAGUAUUUUAGCCGUGCUAUGCCCGGCCAUGAAUUAUUAAAUAUAUGAAAAUAACUUGAACAAAUUGUCUAUUAUAAAAUUGUAAUAAAACUAUAUUAAACACAAUUACCAACGAUUGUUUACUUUGAAUAGAACUUAUCUAUAUAUAGAUAGUGUCAUUUAAAAAUUAACGAUAAUAUUGUAUAUUUUCUCAUUAAAUUGUGUUAAUGAAUUUUUUCACGAUAUUUCCUAUUAAACUAUUAUCACAUUUUAUAAUGUCAAUCCAAAAUUAGCGAUAUUUAUUGACAUUACUCUCGCUCCUAAGAAAACACCAUUAAAACUACAAAUAAAAGCUAAAGAGAAUAAACAUAGAUUUCAGAUUUCACUUCAUUCAUUCCUCAAUAGGAUGCAAACCUUACAUUAUAUAAUUUUCUUAAUGGAUAACAACCAUAUACAUAUGUCACCAUCUUAGUAUUUUAGAAAAUUAAAAUAAAACCAAAUAAUAUCAAAAGGAUAACAUCUAAAUUAUCUAUUCUAUAAAAGUCCUCUAUUUGGACCUCCUAGGCCCAUCCAUCCUUUCAUAAUGGAGCUGAUCCUGGUGGAUAUGAAGGACUUUCUGAUGGUGAUAUAUGAUGAGAAAGGCUCAAAAUCUGGUGGUAAUGAAAAAGGGAAAUGUGAUGCUGAUUGUUUAAGUGUCCCUUGGUUAUUAACACCCCCUUGGAUUCUGGGUGUAUUAGCAGCAUUUGCUACCUUGAGGAAGUUGCCUCCUGUAUGAUCUAUCCCCAUGUGCCUGAGACAAGAUUGACACAAGCAAAUAAUUUCUCUAAUCUGUAGAUUCUCUAAUUUCUUUUCCCAACUAAUUUGCUUUAUCAAAAUGACAAGUAUUUUGCAGUGUCUUGUUGAAAAUGAAAUAACGAGAUAAUUAAUAUUAAUUCUAUAUAUUACCACUUUAUUGCUACAAUUAGUGACAUGCAUAUUGUAUGUGAUAAAAGCAAGGGUGCGGGGGAAAGCAGAAAACAAUGACGUUCUGUAUUGAAUUUUUUAAAUAUAGGAAACUUGUCAUAGUCCAUGCAAACUAAAUAUGUAAAGGAGAAUGAUACUGUCACACAUCUAAAUUCCUUCCCAUAAUUUCAUUUCAAAUAAUAUAUGGCUUAGAUAUAGUUCAUUCUUUUACACCAAGUCGAAAUUGAACGUUUUUAAAGUCAGUUCGUACGUACGUCGAUCCCUCAAUAUCAAUAAUUAAUUAGUGAAGUUAAAAUUUGUUUAAGUAGUUACGAAAUGGAAUUUCUCUGAUUGGUCAAUGAUGAAACUCAAAAAGAUAUAAGAUGCGGAUAACUGUGAAGUUGAAUUAAUUCUCAAUAAACCUUAAACAUAGAAGUGGAUUUGUUAUUUGUUUUAAGUGGUUAAAAUGAUAGUAAAUUAUAAACAAACACGUUAUUAUCAAAUUCGUUUUUAUAUAUGGAUACAUGAAAAUUUAACACAAUCAUUGACAGAUUUUUUUUUUUGGGAAAAAUAUAAAUUAUAUUAAACCCAAAAUAAUACAACAAUAAAUUGGGCAUACCUCGCAGUUAGAGAAAAUAAAAAACUUAUAUCAAAAUGUUAAAAUAAAUACAACAGAUGUGCUUGUCUAUACAUAAAAAACUUAAUCUUCCUAAUAACCUCUAUUACACAAAAUUGAUAAUCUUCAAACAUCAAUUUGUUCCUAGACAGUCAGAUGCAAUAGUAUAGCCAGACAACAAAAAUUUUCUUGAACACCUGAUGUGGAUCUACCCUAAUUAAAGAGUGAGUAAUACACUGCAAAGUGAAACGUCUGCAGAAAGGAGCUAAAUCACGAAUGUGAAUCCAAACUUAAAAAGAUUUCCUGUGAGAAAAGAACAAAUAAGUAUUUGAAUCAGCCCCAUUUGAAUAUAAAUAACAGAGCGAACCUUAAAAAAUUAACUUUGUCAAGAGUAAUCAUUGACAAUUUUUUUAUUAUUAUUAUUAGUAAUCAUUGACAGAUCUUAAUUUUGAAGCACAUGCGUAAAUAUUUAAUUUCGAUGUGUACGCAAGGGGAAGGAAGUCGGCUAACCAAUAUUAUUGAAAAAGCCAACUAAAAUUUUCAUAAUAAAUAAUUUGCAUUUUAUGUUCGGCCUUUAGUGUUGCAAACAAAUUAUUUGGUGAAAUUCGUAUUAAUUCCUAACCUAAACUGUCACGCUCAUGCAAAUAUUAGUGUUAAACAAAUAGCUAACUACUAUAAGUUAAAUUAACUCAAACAAAAGUGCCCACCAUUUAACUACUAUAGUCCCUCUUGUACGACGACAAUUUAAUAAACUUAACAAGAUUUCAAUGCUAAGCUCGUGUUUUUCUUUGUAUGAUUUGUCGGGCACUUUGCGUAGAGUGCAAGAGAAAAUAAUCGUUCAGAAGGUUUAUCGAAAGAAAGAAAAUAGAGCUUCCAGCAAAAUAUGAAACAUGAUAGAAAAAAAAUAGUCUUCUAUAGUUAGUAAACCAUUUCUAGUCAUUCGAUGAGGAAUUGAGUAUUUCUUACUUUAAGAACAUUAAAUGGUGUAUAUAACAAAAGCUAAAGUAGCAUACCUUCAUUACGAUUUAAAUAAUGAAAUGUUGCAGGUUGCGUUAACCUUCAUUGACAUAACAUAAGGAUGUGAUUCAUUGGACAAACCACGUAUGUUUUUUUUUUUUGAGAAAAUAUAUUGGUCUAUUUAAAAAAAAAUCUAAAAAAGAGAAUAAUGGAAAAAUUUUGAAUUUUAAAAUUUAAAUACUUUGGCGGUUUUCAAAUAAAAUGAUUUAUGUUGUUGAUCCUCAAAAAGUUGAAGAAAACUACUUCGUGCAAUAAAGUAAUUAACAAAUCUCAAUCUCAAAACAAACCUUGAUACGUUUUAAAAUUCAACAAAAAAAAAAGGAUAGUUUUCAAAUGGUCAUGUUUAAUUUUUAUUUUUUUUGGGAAAAAUGUAAAUUAUAUUAAACCCAAAAUGAUACAACAAUAAACGGGAUAUACCCCGCAGCUAGAGAAAAUCAAAAGUCUCCCUAAUACAAGAAGGUCUAUAUCAAGAUGCUAAAAUAAAUGCAACAAGUACGUUUGUCUAUACAUAAGAAACUUAAUCUUGCUAAUAACUUCUAUUACAGAAAAUUGAUAAUCUUCAAAAAUCAGUUUGUUUCUAGACAGCCAGAUGCAGUAGACUGUAAUUGCUAUAGCUAGACAACUUAGUUUGAUGUGGAUCUGCCCCUAAUUAAAGAGUCAGUAAUGCGGUGUAAAAAAAUGAAACGCUUGUGGAAAGGAGCCAAAUCACGAAUAUGAGUCCAAACUUGGAGAGAUUUCCUGCAAGAAAAGAACAAAUGAGAACAAAUGAGAUUUCCUGCAAGAAAAGAACAAAUGAGAAUUUGACUCAGUCUCAUUUGAACAUAAAGGGUAGAGGGAACCCUUGUUCAAAAAAACAACUUUGUCAAAAGUAAGCAGUCGGUUCCUUUUAGCAAGCCACAAAAUGAAAGAUAUUUUAGGGGGGAUUGCUGGGUUCCAUAUAACAAAACACCAACUAAUAGUAAGCUUGACACCUCUAAUGUAUUCAUAGACUUUGCCAACAAGUAAUUGUUCAUUGGUGCUCCAAGAUUGAAUCCUCUUUUUGGCCUCUUCCAUACUUAGCUCUUUGGAGAUAAUAAAGUCCCUUAUUUGAAUGAUUUUUUUUUAUCAAAACUGAAUCUGAUGAAGAAGUAUUGUAAUUCCACACAUCGCUCCCUCUGAAAUAGUAAUGGUGAGCCCACCGAACCCAUAGAGAAUCUUUCUUACAAUGAAAGUCCCACAGGAUACGGGAAAGAAGCGCAAGGUUCCAGUUCUUGAGAUUAAAAAGGCCUAAACCCCUUUCUUUUUUCGGAGAACAAACUACUGACCAAGCAACCAAGGGCUUAUUUUUGCCAAUAUCCGCUUUGCCCCACAGAAAAUUACGGCACGAAGCGUUGAUCCGGUCCAGAACAGAUUGCGGCAAAGAAAAAAUCCUCAUCCAGAAAUUCACAAUUCCUUGAAUAACUGCUCUGAUCAACUCUAACUUACCUGCAUAAGAUAAAGACUUCUUGCUCCAUCCCUGAAUCAGGCCAGUAAUCUUGGAAAGCAAGAGAGCAUAAUGACAUACAUUUAAUCUAGAUGAUAAAAAUGGAACACCCAAGUAUCUAAAAGGGAAGUCACCCAAGCUAAAUCUAGUGAACUACUGAAUAUGAGAAAGCUCAUGAGGCCUAAUACCAGCUGAGUAUAUGACAGAUUUAUCAGAGCUGAUGGAAAGCCCUGAAACCCUACAAAAGUGCUGAAGCUUGGCAAACAUAGUUGACACGGAACAUAUAUCUCAUCUAGAUAGAAGCAUAAUAUCAUCUGCAAAAGCCAAAUGAGAUAGCUGAAUACCUGCACAGUUGGGAUGAAAUUUAAAAUUGGCAUCAUCCUUGAGACUGCUCAUAUCUCUGGAAAAGUACUUCAAACAGAUAAGGGGAGAAAGGAUCCCCUUGUCUAAGACCUCGCUGCCCUUUGAAGUGACCAUAAAUGGAUCCAUUGACUGCCACACUAAAGGAAGUGGAAGAAACACAUUUUAUGAUCCAAGUACAGAACUGAACUGGGAAACCAAUGGACUUAAACAUCAAAUCCAAGAAUUCCCAAGAAUUGUUGAUCAACCAUUCCAAAAUGAUUGUGGUUCGAAUCCCAGUCGUGGAUGGUGGUGGUGGUGUUAUUAUUGUUUGGUGAUGAUGAGGAAAAGAUGAUCAUGUUUAAUUUACUUACACAUAAGGGGGGGGAUAUUUAACAUGAGACAGAGAUUAAUAUGAAAAUGAAGAAAAAAUACAAACAAAAAUAAAUUUUAGGAAACUAAAAGCUGAAAAAAAAAAAACUUCUGAUAUAUAUGCAGAAUAAGAAGAGAAAACUAGGUAGUUGCAAAUUGGUUUAAUAUUAGACUGUUUAAACAAGCUAAGAAGAAGAGGGAGAAAAUUAAUUGGAAACUUAAUAAACAGAAUAGUAAAUUUUAAAUUUGUCAAAAAAGAGUCUUUUAACUAAAAAAAAUAAGUAGAUUUUUAAAAAUAGAAAAAUAGAUAGUUUAAAUUAAUUAACAAAUUGGUUGAGAUUUUAAAAUUAAAACAAAAUGAGCAGGUUAACAAUUUGGUCAAUUUUUUUAUUAAAAUUAAAAAAAUGGUAGUUUUAAUUAAGAAUUUGGUAAUGGGCUUUUUUUUAACAAAUUGGUGUAUUAAUUUAAAAUUCAAAAAAUUAGACAGUUGUAAAUUUCAAUAGAUAGAUGAAAACAAGUAUAAGAACUAAGAUAGAAAUGAAUUAUCUUUAUUACUCUUCACUGUGCAGUAAGCUUUAAACACCAACAACCCGAAAGCUCCACCCGCAACAUCUAAGUAGAGAUGAUCAUUACAACUUGUGGUUGAUACCUUGCACUAUUUUAUUUUUAUUUUUAUUAAUAUUGCCUUUUCCUUUGCCUUCCAAAACAAAAAGAUUCAAUUUGAAUUUUCUUUGCCACAACCGCAAGUUUGUAUUUGUCUCUCACAACUUCAUUGUACAAAAUAUUGGUUCACCCAAAUUCAAUAAAAUGACACCAACAUAUAUAGUCUCCCAUAAAAACCCUAACAUAAAAUAACCUAAACCACCAAAUCAGUCCGGUAACCUUAUGGGCACCAAUGCUCCAACCCUAUCUCUCUCUUGAAUCCAUAGAUAGUUAUUCAAUUUUUCUUUUAUUUCAUUCCCUCAAUUAAAUUCUUUCUUAUUCUACACUCGUAAUUAUCGCCUCGAACUUCGAUCUAAAUUCUCCUAUGAGUUGAUAUUAUUUAUAAUUUGAAAUUUGUCGAUGGUGUUACUACUUGUUGCAUAAUCUAAAGUUUAAUUACUUUAUUGAUUUGCCACAAAAUCGACAGUGUAGGAAUUUAUUAGGGAUGAAUUAAGGAUAUUGAUUGUUCAGAUCUGUAAUCCCUAAUUUGUGUGAUUAGCGUGUAGUGUGAGGGAAGAGAGGUAACAAUGAAAGAAGGAGGAACGUCUACAUAGGCUAUAGAAUAACGUUUCCUAUAUCAAUUAUACUUGUAAAUGACUUUAAAAAGUUAAAAAAUCUGCAUCUCCUUCAGAUAGAUUUGGACCUAAGUUUGGAUAAGCUUGAAUAAAAAAAAAUAUUUUGAUUUUACAAUGACAAAAAAUAUAAUAAAAUUUUACAGGAUAAAUUUCAAACAUUUUAAUAUUUAAAAAAUAUAUUUUAACCAUUUUUCUGUCUUGAUUCAUAUUUUGUUGCAAGCCCCAUUUUCUUGCUUCGGAUCAACCGUCCCAUUGGAACUUUGUUAAAUUUAUUAAAUUGUGGUACAAGGGAUUAUAGUAGUUAAAUGGUGGGCACUUUUGUUUGACUCGAUUUAACUAUAGUAGCUAGCUAUUUGUCUAACACUAAUAUUUGCUUGAGUAUGACAGCUUAGGUUAUGAAUUAAGACGAAUUUUACCAAAUAUGUGGAUAGUUUAGGAGCAUGACAGUACUAAAGGCCAAACAUAUAUAAUAUUGGUUAGCUGACUUCCUUCACCUUGUAUUUAUGUACACAAAACCAAAUUAAAUAUUUAAACAUGUGCCUCAAAAUUAUGAUCUGUCAAUGAUUGUGUGAUAAAUUUCAUGUAACCAUAAAAAUGAAUUUGAUAAUAGCUAGGUUGUUUAUUUAUAAUUUUAGUUAUCAUUUUUACUACUUAAAUAAGAGACAUACUUCUCUGUUUAAGGUUUAUUGUGAAUUAAUUAAACUUAACAGUUAUCCUUUUAUCCUAUAUCAUAUCUUUAUCAUUUUUUUAUCACCCAAUAAUAUAUAUAUAUAUAUAUAUAUAUAUAUAUAUAUAUAUAUAUAUAUAUAUAUAUAUAUAUAUAUAUAUUAAUGAAAGAGGUACUAGAAGGACCCGAUAUGCUUCCUAUCCUCCUCAAACAUACAAUACACCUGGUUAUUUUAUAUUUAUGAUACCAGAAUCAUAAAUAACUUAUAACCAAAGCAGAGACAAUAGAAAAGGUGGAUACAUAUAAAGUUGCAGCACAUGCCAUAUAAUCCCAUUCACUAUCAUCAAUUACCACGUAUACCUAUGCAGAAGAGUGCCCAACAAUUGUUUAAGAGUAAUGAUACACGAAAGAUCAUUUAUUUUAAACACACUAAAUAUUUUUUAUUUCUUUUUAUCUCUUCUUUUUAAUCACAUCAUAAAUUUAAAUUAAAUUUUAUCGCACCUAUCAUUUUACCUCUUCUCUCUCUACUCUCUCUAAGUGUUGAAUAGCAAAUGUGUAAUAUCCUCCUCCUCCGUUUGGCAGAAUGUGCAUCUCGACUGCACCCUCACUAUCUGAACAUUUCUCCUCUUGAGAUUCUAAAUAGAAGGCAAUUGAUCCUUAAACAACCUCCAAGUAAACACAGGUAUGGUCAGCCUCAGGAGAAUAUGCCAAAGAAUUAUAUAUUGUUUUCACUGAGAAAUUAAUAACCCAGAGGUUGUGUGUUUCCAAUACUGCAUAUUCUCUCUAUCCUGUAACAGAAUAAUCCCCUACAAAUGUGUUCUAAUACUGCCUAGCAUAAAUACUUUGUUUUUGCUCAGAGUUCAUAAAUAGCCUUCUAAACUUUGUAGCCAAACACUCAACCCCCUCCCACGGUUGAUGCCAUAACAAGAUUUUUCUGUCAUCGCCUACCUUCCAAGCCACACUCUUAUCAUAACAUUCUUUAUUUUUACCUACACGACAAACCUCAACCAAAUCUCUCCACCAUAAGGAAUCAUUCCUUGAUGACCUUUGAACUUCAGCAUUCCCGAAUUUUCCAUAUUUUGAUUUUAGGACUACUGCCCACAAAGAACUUUGAUCCAAAGCAAGUCUCCACUUCCCUAAAAGAGCUUGGUUAAAUAGUCUAAUGUUCUAUAUUCCUAGCUUCCCUUGCUCCUUACUAAACAAACCUCCUCCCAUUUGACCCAAGCAAUCUUCCUUUUAUUCUCCUCACCUCUCCAAAGAAAGUUUCUUUGGAGCUUAAUAAUCCUUUUAACAACACACGGUGGAACUUAGAAAAAAGAUGCAUAAAAAAUGGCAAUAUGAAAAUAGCACGAAAUUAAUGAGUGUGACUCUCCCUCCUGGCGAAAGUGAUUUUUGUUUCCACAAAGCCAACUUUCCCUUCACCUUAUUGAUGAUUGGUUCCCAAGUUUUACCUCUUCUAGGAUUGGCCCCAGCCGCGAGAUGAUCGUCAACUUGCAAUUUAGCAUGCUGGUGAAAGUAUCCAAUAGGUUAUCUGAUACCCCAAUGCCCACCAACUUGCUUUUAAAGAAAUUGACCUUUAGCCUUGACCCCAUUUCAAAACACCUCAAAAUUAUCUUCAAGCAUAAAACAUUUUGUAUAGUGGGGUCUAGAAAGAACUAAUUAAAACAUCAUCUGCAAAUUGCAAAAUUAAGAUUUUCACAAGAUUUUUUCCAACCUCAAAGCCUUUGUGGCGACCCUCCUUACUCCUAGACCUCUUUGGAGGAUGAAUUCAUUGAAAGGACUACCAUUUACCAAAACAAACAUACGGAUGAUUCCAAACCCCCUUUAAUCUACCCAAUGCACUUUUCAUAAAAACCCAACCUCAACCUCUGCAUCAUAUAACAAGAAAAUCUCAUGACACUGAGUCAUGUCUUUUGGAAGUCUACUUUGAAAACCAUGACCCCCCUCUUUGCUUCCUCGACAACUUCAUUUACUACGAGUACACCAUCUACCCCCUCUUAAGAAAACACUUUGUCUCAUAUCAAUGACUUUACCCAAUACCCGCUUCACUCGCUUUGCCAAAACCUUGGAGAUGACCUUGUAAAUACAACAGAUAAGUGUUAUAGGUCUAUCUUCGUCCAAACCUUGGGCAUUUUCUUUCUUGGGAAUAAAUGUAAUAAACGAAGAAUUCGCGCCUCUAGGCAUCCUAGCAUUCUCCCAAAAUUCCUUCAUCAUACUCAUGAAGUUUUUCUUCACAAUCUCCCAAUACUACUUCUUUAUGAAAAGAAGUUGAUACCAUCUAGGCCCGGGCUUUUGUCCGCCCCACAAGCUACUCAAGUGUCUCGAAAAGAUUCACAUAAGACUUCAUCAUCAUCCCUCCCAAGUGUCUCCAAGUGCACCCUAUCCAACUUUUGUUUUAUCCCCAUGUGCUCUUAGAACCUAUUUUUGAAGUAAUCCACCACCCUUUUUUCACCUUUAUUGGUUCGUCUUCCCAUCUCUCGUCCACCUCCAACCCUUUCCACUCACUUAAAUUUUUCCUCCAUUUGACCAUAGAGUGAAAAAAUUUAAGUGUUAGCAUCCCCCUCCCUACACCAUCUUACCCUAGAUUUUUGGUGAAGAUGCGAUUCAUUUCUCCUAGACACACUCCAAAACUCACCCAUAAGUGACCAUCUAUUUUGCAUCUCCACCUCAUCUAGACCUUCCGCCUCAUCAAUUACGUCUAAAGCAUUUAGUUUUUUUACUACCUCCUUGAUUUGCUUAUUAACAUCUCUAAAGCUCUCCACGUUCCACUUCUUCAAAUCAUUUUUCAACCUUUCAACCUUUCCUUAAGCACAAAAGAAGCCCACCCUUGCACUUGAUAAGAGUCCCACAAAUCCUUCACCAUCUCUAGAAACCCAUGAUCUUGGAACCAGCAAUGCAACACAUUGAAAGGCUUUGCCCCCAACCCAUAAUAGAACUUUUCAUGGUGGGCAAUGAUUCGUAAAGCUUCUAUUCAUGACAUAUUGUGUACUCCUCGGCCAUUCAUUAACCCAAUCACUUGAGACAAGCACUCGGUCGAGCCUACUUUUUGAAUGAUCAUUCACCCUAUACCAAGUGAACUUCCUUCCCACCAUAGGUAUGUCCUCCACCUCCAUAUCCCCAAUAAAUUUGUUAAAUGCCUCCAUAUCCCCAAUAAAUUUGUUAAAUGCCUCCAUAUCCCUUCCUCCCAUCAAAUUUCUUGAGUCUCUUCUUUCUUGUGUUGUCCAUGCCGAACUAAAAUCACCCAUUAGACACCAAACCCCACUCUUGCCAUUUAUUCUUGAGUUCAACAAUUUUCUCCCAAAGUUUCUUGGUCGUUUUGUUUCAUGACAUCAAGGUUCCACACGUUUGCUUCACGAAUCGAUGGAGCCUUUUUUGUUUGUGUUGGAGAUUCUAAGUCUGAGAUUACCAAAAGCAUAAACAUGCUUAUAGCCACGGAUUGAUGUUCUAUUUUUAGUUGUAUUUUCUUUCUAGGAGUUUGCUUUGUUUGUUUUGCUAAUUAAUAUUGUAACAUCCUAAAAUCAUCCAAUAAUUAUUCAAAUAAAUAGGUAGAUUGUAUAACCUUUUAAAGAGAAGUUAGUAUAAUUUUUUGAGUUAAAUAUGAUAAUAAAAAAAAAAGAGAAACGGGUGAUGGUUGGUUUUUUUAAUAAUAAUUAAAUAUAAUAAAAUAAUAUAUAAAGAAAAAUUCAUUCAAUAAAUUUUAAAUUAUGUACAACUCUUAUAUAAGGAUAAACAAUUUCUUCUCUUAAAAUCACAUAGAUGUAUAGUCUCUCUUGAUAUUAGUAGGUUGCUCAUUCUGUAGGAGGUGAGUAAACACUUAUCUUUUAAAAUUUCAAUGGUAUGAGAGUGAAUUUCAUAUUUUGAUAUAAAAUUUGAGAUCAAUAAAAUUCUAGGUAUUAUAGUAGAUUUUGGAUAUUUCCUAUUACGACUAAGUUAGCUUUUUUAUUAUGAUUUGGUUGUCAUGAUAAUUGUUUGUUGAUGCUUUUGAUCGAUGAGGGAAAACCGUAUAGUAGGUAUCAAUUCUCUUAAAUUUGGCAUGAAGUCCUUUGCUUUUAAACCCGUCCAUGGAUAACAUAUAUGGAUGCAUUUGGCUUAUAUUAGAUUAAAUUCCGAAGUUUACAAAUUACAUGACAUUAGUUGAAGAAAGAAUUACAUUUACCUGUGUAUAUAAUUGGAUUUACCUUCUGAAAUUGAAUUUAUUUUGAGUGUGACUAUGUAUUGCAUUUGAGUGAAUCAUUGUCUUCCUUUUAAUUUUUAUUGGGGUGUGUGUAUAUAUAUAUAAUAUUAUUUUAAAUUUAUUACUGAUAUUGUGGUCGAUGUUUCGAACUGUCACACAAACAAUAUUAUUUGUGGUUUUCUUUUUAGAAUUUGUUUUAUUCACUAUGUUAUUAUCUCAUUGUUAUUUUCAAAUAUUAUUUGUGAUUUUCUUUUUAGAAUUUUUUUUUAUUCACUAUAUUAUCAUCUCAUUAUAAGUGUUAUUUUCAGAUAAAAAAUUGUUGAAUUUGAGAAAACUUAAAGACAUAAUUUUGUUAGUAUUUUAGUCUAGUACUUUAAAAUAAAACGUUAAUGUAAUUAUUUUUGUUAUAUUUGUAAUGUUCAUUCAGUUUAAAUAUCCAUAAUUUGAGGAUAUUUUUAUUAUAAAGAUGAGUUGUUGUUAUAACUAAGCACAUUACAAAUACCAUGGAUUAACUUCUUUUUUUUGUUCUUUCCUAAAUCUCAAUUGCUUAAUGGGAGGAUUUGAAAUUUUGGAUGAAUUUGUUAUUUAUUUGAGAGAUUAAUUUGUUGAUUUUAGGUUAACAAUCCAUUAAUUUGAGGUUCUGAAGUUUGAAACUUUUAACGGAUUCAGAUUUGUUAUUUGGAACGAAAUGAAUAAAUCACUAGCAGGGGAGUGAAGAGUGGUGAUAGCAAGGUAGGGAUGAGCUUACAAAAUUAGGAAAAAACAAAAACGGAAAUUUUUUAUAAUCAGAAAAAGAAAUUCAAAUAUAUAUAAAACAAAAACCAGUUAAGCAAGCUUUAAUCUCAACCAUUAAAUAUUUUAUGAAUAAAUUCAAUGAUGAUAAUAGGUACUUUAUGGGUGAGAGAAAAAUUAGUACUUCACCUUAGAAUUAGACUCCUACUUUUUCUUCCAUCCCUUCUCCCGAUACCUGCCCCUUACCAUAAAAGGAGAUAGUACUGCACCACCUGUCCCCUCCGCAUUUAAUGUUUGAUCAGAGAAGUUCCACUGCGUUAAUUUCAACAACUUAACUAAUUAAAUGAUAUUGAGGGAUACACGAAAUGACCUUAAACGUUCCAAUUUACGCGACUUAGUGUGUAAGAAUCAACUAUACUUAAGCCAUAUAUUAUUAAAAAUGAAACGAUGAAAGGAAUUUUGAUAGUGUGUCCCUUUACAUAUUUAGUUUACAGGAUUAAGACAGGUUUAUCAUAUUUCAAAUUCAAUACAAAACGUCAAUGUUUUCAAAUUCAAUACCGUAUGUUACUAAUAGUCACACUAACUGAAUAAAGUCAUGAUAUAUACAAUCGAUAUUGAUUAUCCUAUUAUUUCAUUUUCAACAUUAAGGUACACCACAAAAUGUUUGUCAUUUUUUACAAAGCAAAUUAGAUGAAAUUUUUUUUAUAGAAUCUACCCUAGAAAAUAAAAUAGCACAAGCAUGUGGUUUGGGUGCGUGUUUCAGAAUAAUGAGAAUUUCCCUUAAUCUUUUUUUUUUUUUGGGUAUUGAUAUCUGACAAAAUUAAGGAAAUCAAUAGGUUUUCCAGAUUCAAUGAGAAAAUUAAAAAUUAAACCUUAUAUAAUACAAACGACGAUAUACAAAUUUAAACACACACAUGCAGUAAGAUAAUGUAGAUAAUGAGAAAAAAAAGAAAUCCUAAUUGAUUUAUCUUGAUUGAGGUACAAUAUACGAUUUGUGCCCAUUUUUUAAAAAUCACUUGAUUCUUUUUUCUUUUCCUCACUUCUCACGUUGAAUUUUUGCAUCCAAAAUCUUUGUGGAACUUCACCCUAGGUUUUUCUUUUCCACAAGAAUUACAAAAGCUCUUUAUAUCCAUUCCCAAAUACAAUAUAUAAUAGUUUUUGUUGAAAAUAAACUUAUAUAUUACCAAACAUAAAUACUUCAAAAUCAAUUACAAUUCUGGUAGCAGCUCCCCCAAUUAAGCACACAGAUACUAAACAUACCAUGAUAUAUGUGCAUGUCCACCUAACGUAGACCACUUUUGUUUUGCCAAAAAAUUCCAACCAACUCUCUCCUAAACCUUCUCACAAUCUCAUUCCACAUAAAUAUAUAAAACGUACCAAGGAUGUUCCUCAUUCUAACCAAGUUAAUCAUCAACGUGUCUUACAACACCAUGAUGAUGCAAAUGGAAACCCUCCCUCUCCUCCUCACUCUAGUAGCAACCCUAUCAGCCUACUUCCUUUGGUUCCACCUCCUCGCCCGAACCCUAACCGGGCCAAAGCCCUGGCCAUUAGUGGGGAGCCUCCCAGGCCUUUUCAGGAACCGCGAUCGAGUCCACGACUGGAUCGCGGAUAACCUCCGUGGCAGGGGAGGCUCCGCAACGUACCAGACGUGCAUCAUCCCAUUCCCUUUCUUGGCACGCAAGAAAGGGUUCUACACGGUCACGUGCCAUCCAAAGAACCUCGAGCACAUCCUCAAGACGCGCUUCGACAACUACCCAAAAGGCCCCAAGUGGCAAACCGCGUUCCAUGAUCUUUUGGGCCAAGGAAUCUUCAACAGCGAUGGCGAGACAUGGCUCAUGCAACGUAAAACCGCGGCAUUAGAGUUCACCACGCGAACGUUGAAGCAAGCCAUGUCUCGUUGGGUUAACCGAUCCAUUAAGAACCGGUUGUGGUGCAUACUUGACAAAGCGGCGAAAGAACGCGUCUCGGUGGAUUUGCAAGACCUUCUUCUGCGGUUAACCUUUGAUAAUAUUUGUGGACUCACGUUCGGCAAAGACCCAGAGACUCUUUCUCCGGAGCUACCAGAAAACCCGUUCGCUGUUGCUUUUGACACUGCCACUGAAGCCACCAUGCACAGGUUUGUAUAAUUACACAAUACACCUAAUUAAAUUUUUUUGGCAAUACUAUAGUUUUAGAGAUUUUCAUGACCGCAUUCACAACUAUAAUUUAAAACCUCAAGUAAUGUAUCCAAUAGCAAAAUUUAGACACAGUUUCUUAAUUUUCUUUACACUAUUUUUCUAUUAAACUUGAAAUUUUAUUUUAAUAUAUAAUCUAUAUUAUGAACAUUUAUUAUGCACAUUAUGUAUAUAUAUAAGGUGGAAUUUUAUUUCUAGCUGAUUGAAGAAUAAUAAUAGAGAAAGUUUACGAUAUACUUUCUAAAUUUCAAAGGUUUUGUCAAUAUCUCUCACUUUCUUAGUGUAUCAAAACUAAUUCAACAACUAUUAACAAAAGAAAAAAAAAUUGUGCCAAAUCUUUAAACCUAUGAGUACGCAACGUAACAACUCUCACAAUAAAGUUAACGAUGUUAGAUAUUUAGACACCCACAACUUAUAAAUACUUCAUCAACAUAUUUCUCUCUUUCUAUCAUAUAGUAACCAUAUAAAUAACUUAAUUUUUUUUUUUUUUUUAUAUAUAUCUCUCUAAUCAAGAUCUAAACACUUUGUAUACAAGAAUCAUUUUGCCAGUAUUAAAAACACUUAAAACAAAUGUAUCUAAGUGUUGUUGUAUAUAAAAUUAAUUCUUAAGAUUAUUAAUGCUAUUGUUUGUAUAACCACGUACAUUCACAAUUACAAUCUAGAGCUCUAUGUUAUAUAGAACUCAGAAAUUUUAAUAUAAUUAAUUAUGUACUACUAUAUAUUUUUGCUCCCCUUGUUAAACGUUUUAUGGAGUACAGGUUCCUCUACCCGGGACUAGUGUGGAGAUUCCAGAAGCUUUUGUGCAUUGGAUCGGAGAAAAAGUUAAAGGAGAGCCUCAAAGUUGUGGAAACCUACAUGAACGACGCCGUGGCGGAUCGCACAGAAGCUCCCUCCGACGACUUGCUCUCGCGUUUCAUGAAGAAGCGCGACGCCGCCGGCAGCUCCUUCUCCGCCGCGGUGCUUCAGCGCAUCGUCCUCAACUUCGUCCUCGCCGGCAGGGACACGUCAUCGGUGGCCCUCACCUGGUUCUUCUGGCUCCUCACGAACCACCCCGACGUGGAGCAAAAAAUAGUGGCUGAGAUCGCAACCGUCCUGGCCGACACGCGCGGCGGAGACCGACGCCGCUGGACGGAGGACCCUCUCGACUUCGGCGAGGCUGACAGGCUCGUGUACCUCAAGGCGGCGCUGGCCGAAACGCUGCGUUUAUACCCGUCCGUUCCGCAGGACUUCAAGCAGGCCGUGGCCGACGACGUGCUGCCGGACGGCACGGAGGUUCCGGCGGGGUCGACGGUGACGUACUCGAUAUACUCCGCGGGGAGGGUGGAAACGAUAUGGGGGAAAGAUUGCAUGGAGUUUAAACCGGAGCGAUGGCUUUCGGUUCGCGGGGACCGGUUCGAACCGCCAAAAGAUGGGUUCAAGUUCGUGGCUUUUAACGCUGGACCGAGAACUUGUUUGGGCAAGGACUUGGCUUACCUACAAAUGAAGUCCGUGGCUGCUGCUGUGCUUCUGCGUUACCGGCUAUCGCUGGUUCCCGGUCACCGGGUGGAACAGAAGAUGUCUCUCACUUUGUUCAUGAAGAAUGGGCUCAGGGUGUUCUUGCAUCCACGUAAGCUAGAAAGUGGGCCCGGGGUUGCCACCUCACCUUAAAGCGAGGGUCUUUUCGUCAUUGUGCUGCAGAAUUAAGAGAGUAUAAUCAAUAGUGGCAAUAUGGUCAUUCGGUGGUUCGUUUGAGAGUGUGUAUGUAUUUAUUUAUGUUCAUUUUAUGUUUGGAAUUAGGGUGUUGUGUAACUGUAAUUUGUGUAUCACUCUUUAUGUUUCAUUUUUUUUUCGAAAAUAAAAAAAAAGUGUGUUGAAAAAAUUGUUUUCAUUGUCUGAAAAUAAAUUAUAGGAGUAUACAUUUCAAUGUAAAUUUAUGAUUGAAAUUAAUUUAUAUAUAACUUUUAAUUAAAAUUAAUUUACAGGUAAUUCAAUUUUUUUAAAAAAAAUUAAUUAAACAAAUUAUUAAAAAAGAUACCUUAAUUUAUUUAAAAAGCUAAAAAAAAUUAUAAGUUUAUUUAAAAAUAUAUUUAAUUAAUAUAUCAACGCUUUAUAAUAAUACUUUUUUAAUUUAAGAAAAAGAGUAGGAUUUUAAAACCCGGCUAGAUAAAAAAUAAAAAAAUAAAAAAAGUCAAUCAAUUGCUCCUUAAUUCAUUUUCUUAGCAGUAACAAAAAAUGUAUAUUUUUUAGUGUUCAAACAUUUUUUUAGGUACGAUAUAUGAUGUGAUGAAAAGAAGAAAAAUAUUAAAAAAAAAUGUUAAUGGAGUGCGUGAAAAAAUGAAGUGUGGAAACAUCAUUGUUGAUAUGGUUAUUUUUUUCCUAACUCCUAAACUUGAGAAUAUUAACUGCGUCAAAGGAGUAGAUACCAAAAUUCUACUCCUCGUCAUUAAAGAGUUACCAAAAUUCUACCUAACAUUUCAAUGUUCAGAGAACUUGAGCAACAAUGAAAAUCAAUCAAAAGGACUUAACCGAAAGAGUAGUUAAGCAAAAUCAGUAGAUCCCAUGCAAAUAGCAUAGCAACUUAAGAAAUCCAAAUUAAAAUUGCUAUGACCUUAUUUCAAAAUACGUGCCACAUUCAAUAGCUCAGUUCUCUUAUCAGAAUGAAAAACAUCAUUUGAACUAAGAAGAAACAAACUCUAUCAAAUCCAUCUCUCCUUUAACUUCUGAACAACCUUGAUGUCGAAAAUCCAUUUUGAUUCCCAUAACCAGGUGCCACGUUGAACAAGUGAGAGAGAUGGAGAUCCGAAGGUAGAUAACUUAUGUGGGUAGGAUGAGUCUCUCUAGGGAAGAGACUAGCAUCAUUCAAGUGCAUGUUAAUGUUAUUAAUAUCUAGGUAUUGGAGGGAAUACUCACACUCACCCACAUCAUCAACAUUCAUUUGACAAUAAUCCAAGUAUGAGGUUGAAGGCAUCUUAGAGUGCUUAGAGACUUCAACAUUCUCCUUGAAAAUUUGUUUCAUGAAGAGUAGAUCAUUAGCCAAAGGUUCAUAGAACACGGGGUGUAAAGGGUUUGCAGCAUUGUCCUGUGAGAGUGUUGUGUGGAUGGUAUCUGUGGCAGUGAUGAUGCCAGGUGUGGGGUUGCUACUAGUUGUUUGAUUCUGGCUUCUGAUGUAGUCUUCAAGUAUAGAGGAAUGUGGCUUUCUAUUAAUAGAGCUUUUUGUCUUCUUGUUCUUUCUCUUUGAAUUCUGUCUCCUUAUGGUGGCAUUCCAAUGGUUCUUUAUGGCAUUCUCUGAUCUUCCUGUAAUGUGUUUUGCAAUCUCACACCAACGAUUUCCGAGCCUCGCAUGGGUGUCUACUAGUAUCCUCUCUUCUUCUUCACUCCAACUAUCUUUCUGAUAAAAGUUUAGUAGCCAAGGAAAAUGGAUAACAAGUUUAAAUGUUACAUUAUGACUGAAAUUUAUAGAGCAACACAAAAUCAAUCAAAUGAAAAUUAUAUAUAUAUAUAUAUAUAUAUAUAUAUAUAUAUAUAUAUAUAUAUAUAUAUAUAUAUGUUGUAAACUUAUAUGAAAAAAUUAAUAAUAUAUAUUUGUGACCGAUGAAAAAAUGCACCAACUUUGUUGUGGUUCUCUAGUGUGAACAAGAUUCAUGGUCAUGUGCAACUAAUCAUAGGGUGUUAGUAUUAAGCAUAUUAAUUAGCAAACCUUAAUAUCAGGACGUAAAUGAUUAUUCCAUCUUUCUCGACACUGCUUACCAACCCUUCCCUCCAACUUCUCAGCUAUUUCAGCCCAUUUUCUUUCACCAUAUUGCUUCACCAACCUUAUCAGUUUCCUUCAGUUAUACCAAAUAAAAACCAACUUAAAAGCUUAUAGUACAAGUGUAUAUUAACAAGAAUUAUUCAAACAAGAGCAUAUAAAAAAUACAAAAAUAAUGGAUCUAGCCUUAUCUUAAUGUAUUCAACCUGUCCUCUUCUUUAUUCCACUGUCCUUUGAUCCAACACACAGGAGACUGUUUUUUCUUGCUUCUCCUUCCCACCACUUUCGCAUUCUUACCUAAAACAUGCAUACCUUUCGGGCACAAUGUAGGGGUUUGGUUGAUGUGUGUCCACUUAUUAUUAAAAGCCUCCUCAUCAGCAAAAACAUUUGCAGCAUUGUAAUUCCUUGCAUGUUGUUGCUGGUGAGGAAAGUGGCCACAUAAGAACCUAUCUAUGCCUAUGGCUGUCAAAGGAGGGUUGUUGCUAGCGUUUAUAACUUCACACCCAUAAAUUUGGAAGCCAUUAUUGUCACCACCUUGACUUCCUCCUCUGACCAUGAAAUCCAUGAAAGGAGACUAAAUCAAGGAAAGUAUUGUUUGUGUGCAGGUGUAAAGGUUAUUUAUUUGGUGAAAAAAUGGUUGACAAACACUGAAGCUUAUGCCAAGCCACGGGAAUUAAUUUUGAUAGUGUAACUCCUAAAAUUAAUUAUGGACAAAUUAAAAGGGUGUGGAGAGGGAUUAGUGGGUGCUGACGUGCUGUUAAUCCAUUUUAUUUACUUACAAAUUAAUUUUUUUAUUAGAUUUAAAUGAUAUUGAAUUAUUACUUAAUAUCAUCUUAAUAGACUAAUUAAUUUCAUUCAUAUAAAUUUCAGUUUAUUUUCAAUUAUGAGUCAUUAAUUAUGAUAUAAUUUUUUUAAAAAUAUUUUUUUGCUUGUUUUUAAUUAUUUUUUAACUCUGUUUUUAAGUUUUUUAGUAUCACAUAUUGUGAUUUCUAUAUUAUUAGUUAGUCUAAGUAAAAUAUUACUAGGCUUGAAUAUUUUAUGACGUUAAAUUACUUUCUUGAAAAUUAAAAUAAAACUAAAUUAUAUCUCAGGAGCUUAGGAGUGUAAGCGGGGGACGUGAAUCUACUAAAUCAAAUUCCCUCCAAUUAAAAUUUUAUAAGUUAGGUUAAGUUUAUUUUUAGUGUAAUAAAUUAUAAUUAAUUUAGUAAUGGAUUCACGAGUUGUAAAUCUGACUUAACUCAAUUACAUAAUAAUAAUAUAUUAAUCGUCUAAUUCUAUGUAUCAUGUAUAAAAUUUAAAUGAUUAUUUUAUUAUUGUUAUUUUGACUUUUCGGUAUUGUGAUAUGUAAAACAAUUAUAUAUUUUAUGGAUACUAAAACUAUGAUUAUAAAAUAGUUGUAUGUUUUAUGACGAUGAGUUAUAUAUAGAAUAGUUUUAUGAAUACUAUAUAACUUUUAGUAUUUUGAGAAGUAUUGUUUGUGUGUAACAUGUACUGUAGUUGAAUUAUAAGAAUUAAAAAAAUUGAAAUAAUAUUAAUUUUGAGGUUUUUAAUUAGUCAUUAUUAAUAAAUAAAGUUUAAUAUAUUAGUAGGUUCUUAAAUUUCUUGAAAAAUUUGAGUUUAUUCUUUAAAUUAAUAAAAUGUAAUUAAGUUAUUGAUUUUGUAAAAAAAUUGUAAUUGGGUCCUUGAAAAUAAUUUAUGAUGACUUAAAAUCGUUAGAAAAAUAAUGAUUUGUGUCAAUUUUACUAACUCUAAAAAUUUAAUUAUAAAAAUUGUACGUAGAAAAUUAAGGACCUAAUUAUAAUUUUUUUUAAUUUAAGAAUCUGAUUAAAAAAUUCUAAAACUUUGAAGACCUACUUAUCUAUUAAACUUUAAAAUGACAAUAGAUGUUAGGGGUGAUGAAAUAUAAUAAUUGAGGGUUUAAGAUUAUCUAUGAGAUUCUUUCAGACAAAUUUUGAAAAUUGUUUAAUGUGGCUGAUUAAGGAUCGAAGAAAUUCAUGCUAUUUUAUGACUAUAAAAGAGUUUUGAUGAGUCAUGCUUGUAAUAAUUAUAUAUAAAUAAUUUUUUAUAAUAUUUUCAAAUAUUCUUAAAGUUGUUUAUAUUCUUCCAUUAUUAACGAUUUUAAGUUAUAGAAUAAUUAUAAAAUAACAUUAUAAUUGAAUGUAAUAUUUAUGAUUAUGAUGACAUAAAUAAUGAUGAAUAAUUUCAAGCAUAAUUAUUUGGAGUAGAUAUUUCACACUAACAUCAUGUUAAAAAAAUGUCAAUUGCUUUAUAAAUACCUAUGAUCUAUACUAAGAGGUUUAGUAUUUUCUUUGGGCCCAUAGGUCCCAGGAUCGAAACCUGGUUCUGAUACCAUUCGGUUGAAUUGUUCCCUUGAUGGUUUAUAAAUACCUAUUAUCUCUGUAUAUCCGUUAUGUUGUUGAGUCAUACCCAAGGCAUUAAGCAUCUCAAGAUAACUUUGAUGCAAGAUAUCUACAGACCAUAGGGAUAACCCAUCAAUUGAUAUCAAUAUUCGGUGUUCUGAUACACAAGAUCCUUCAAAAAAGCGAGUGUAGAGCAUACUAGGUGGUGGUGAGAGUUUCAAAUGAUAAUCAUUAUAUAACUCAGAGUUUCAAAGAAGAAGAAUUUUAGAAGAGAGUCAUCUUAGUAAGAAGAAAGUAUUAUUCGAUUCAGUGUGCCUCAACAUAUAGACUUAUCCCCUUUAUACAGGAGGGAGGGGAAUGGACACUAACAUACAAAGUCUUACCCGGAAAAGGAUAAGAUUAUUACAACAAGAGAUAACAUAAAAUCUACUUUAUUAAAGAUAAGAUAAGGCUGAAUAGACUCAAGAUAAGACAACUUCUAAACGACUGACACGUGACACACGAUGACGAGGAUAGGAUUACGGUUAUCCUUAUCCUAAAUAUUACUCUCUCUACAACACACCUUUAUACAAGAUUUAUUCAGCAGUCACUAGUCUCAUCUGGUGGAUAAUAACAAGUUGUAAUAUUGUACCUCUGACCUGGUGAGACUUUCGUAUGCUGGGUGAUGAUAAGGAUAUCACUUUUUGUGUAACAAUUCCUUCAUCAAUUAAGCACUGUAGUCUUCCCAGUCUCGUUCUAAUGCAGAAUAGUCAUCAACCAAAUCUUCUACCUUUUGAAACUCAGGUUCUGGAACAUAAAUCUCUGUUCGGAUUUGACCUUCAUUAGUAUUCUGAAGUAUUAUUCUAUCACUAGGAUAACUAUCCCUUGGCCUUUGGGAUGAACUUGGUAGAUUUGGAUCCAAAGGUCUGUAUGAGUCAUUGUUAACUUCACAAAGAUGUCUUGCAAGUUGGUUCAGAUAGCUUUCUUCCAAGAGAUAUACUUCAAAAGUUUUCCAAAUUUGAGCUUCAUUUCUAGACCAGAGUUGUCAUUACUCCAUAAAGUAAGGAUGGUGAAUAAUCACAAUAGAAACUAAUUUUCAUGUGAUCUUCUGAGAUAUCCAUUGAGCUUCAUACGUCACCAUGCUAAAGGAGAAAACCACCCUAACAUUGUCCAUAAAAGAUAUUCAUCUUUAUAUGAAUAUGUCAAGAUGUUAUAUGUCAUAAAAGGUUUUAGAGCAACAGGGAUUGAAUAUUGUACUAUUACACCAAAUGGCCCAUAUGAUUGGUUUACACAAAUCAUAUCCAAUCUCACAGAACACUUCAAAUAUAACUCCAAAGGAUAUCUAAGGGUCAAAUAUUUGUGCAGGAGUAUAUUUGAAUCUCAAUGGGUAUCUAAUAGGUAUUUAUAAAUUAAGAUCUCAUUUUAAGUAUAAUAUAUAUAUAUAUAUAUAUAUAUAUAUAUAUAUAUAUAUAUAUAUAUAUAUAAUGGAUAAAGGCAAUACAAGAUAUUGUAAUGAUUUGUUGGUCUCCAUUGCUACUUUUCCAUUUCUGUCCUUAAUAUGCAUUUAUAAUAAAUAAAUAAAUAAAGAUAUGUAAAUCUACUAUUUAUUCUCCACUUUUUUCAGAAAAACCUUUAUCGUCACUUCUACUCACUCUCUCACUAGAAGUUACACGAUUUUUCAAACAUUUUUUCUCACCACUCACUUCAGGUAUGUGCAACUGAUCGUAUUUUAACUAAAUAAUAUUUUCUCUAUUUCCAUUUUUUACUGUGCAUAUAUUUGUCCACAAUUCUGAUGUUGUAAGUUUUAACCUCUUUCCCAUGACCCAUUAUUCUAUUUCAUUAACCGCACAAAUGACUCUUCCAUUAGCAAUUGUGUAUUUAUCAGUUAGUUUCUUUCUUUCUCCACUAUCUCUCCAUGCACAAUGCAUACAAUUCAUUUCUAUAUUAUUAUAUAUCUUUCUUCCUCCAUAUUCCACAAUACCUUUGGUGUAAUAUUAUUGAAGGAAAGCAUUUUCAAUUUUUUAAGGACACCUGCACUUUUAGUAAUAUUGUUUGAAUACUUCCUUACAAUUUAUUUAAUUAUUGAAUGAUUUCAGACCAAAUUAUUUAAUUAACUCCUUUCACCCAUUUUUUUCUUAAUUCUUUUUCAAAAUAAUUUAUUGAUAUUUGUUUUUGUUAAUUUCUUAAUUUUUUCAUGUGUGAUUCGAACUCGAGUGGUGAUGGAGACGAUUUUACAAGCAACGUGAAAAGGCUCAUAAUUGAUUUGGUCACCAUUUGAAGGAAAAGAGUGUGAAAGAGUGAGGUAAGAGUUGAGAGUUGCGAGUAGACGAAGACAAUCGUCAUCAGGUAAUAACUAUUUACUAUUUUGUAUUCACGGUUUCUUUUUCAUAAAAUUUUACUCUUCAAAAUUAUGAAUUAUUAUCAACAAUUUAUUCUCUGUAAAAUUUCAAAUUAUUAUCAGACAAGGGUGAAGGUUGAAGGGUGAUAUCUCCUCUUCAAUUUAGUAUGAGUCAGUAGGGGGUGCAUGAGGCAGAUUCAACUUUUUCAAUUCCAGGAAGUCGUGCAUUCGAGCCUGGGCAGAUUUGGUGACCAAUAUUAUCAAAGAUAGUAUAUCUAUUCUCAUGGACAUGGAGAUUGUGAUAAUAUGCCAUUCUACAGGUAUUUUGAUGGAAUACUUUGAAAUGCAAUUGAAUUUAAUGAUUAUUCAUUUUAAUUUGCAAUUGAUUCUGUUCUUAUUUAUGUUUGUUCUUUCUUUUCAAUGAAUAAAAAAUAUUCUUUUUGAGUUUUUAAAAUCUACCGAUCAACAAUAAAAUAAUUUUAUAAUCCAUUAUUGUUGCCCUUCAUGUUUUUCAAAUUUAUAAUAAUCAAUUACUUUUCUUCUUCUCUUUAACAUAUAAUAGAAAUAUUGUUUCUAAUCUUUUAAUUAUUCAUUUUCAUUGUUAUGGCAGAUAUAUAUCUAUUAUUUUAACAAAGAUGGUUAAAGAUAAGUAUUUUUGGUAGCUGAAAUGAUAUAGAACUAAAAGAUAUAAUAAUGAAUUUCAGAAGUAUACUCUCUAGCAAAGAAGGAACAAAUAUUAUAAAUGAGAGGUAUGUGCAAUUUUGUGUAGUAUAUUUUAAAAAAAUAUGAUUUUUAUGCAUUCCGAAUUAAACUAAGGUAUCUAUUCCUAAACAAAGGUAACUAAUUGAAAGAAAAAAGAAAUCUUGGUUUGCCAAAGAUAAUCAAUGGCAACCCUUCAAUGGAGACAAUCAACAUGAAUCUUGGUGCGUUAUUGAAGAAAGUUGGAAUGAUUUAGAUAAUAGAUAAGAUUUUUCAGUGUAAUAUUUUAUUAAUUUUUCUUUUUACAUUCUAUUUUUGUUUUAGAUACCUAUAUCAUGUAUUGAAUAUAAUCAAUUAGUGUAUCUUAUUGCUUUGACUUGACAUGUUAUUUGUGUUUUUAUUAAAUUUAUUUACCAAUUAUAUCUUUUUACAAUUCUCUCCAUCUUCUUAGCUUUUAUUUCGAUUCCUUUGUAGAAAAAGAUACAUGAAAAUUAAAGUUUUCUCUUUUUGGGGUGUACUUCUUUUACCCAUUAUUUUAUCUUUAUUUUGAAUUUAAUUGUUAAGUUAAAAGAACAGGAUAAUUAGAUAAAGAUUGGAGGUUAAUUAACCGUGUAUUGAAAGUAGUAUUUUAGGAGAAAUCUACUAAAAAUUAAAAAUGAUUAAUUAACUAUGUGAGUAAAUAUAUAACUACGAAUAAAUAACAGUUGCAGUAAGAUAUAUAUAUAUAUAGCAUGAGAGUAUGUAAUAAUUGCAGGAUAAAAAUUAUACAUAAAAUCCUUUAAACUUAUGAUAAUAAUAAUAAUUUUUAAUAUUAUCAAUAAUAUUUUUGAAGUGAUAUUUACAUGAAAUUCGAGAUGAAGUAAUAUUUUGUCUAUAUAACAUAAAAACUGAAGCAAAACUUGGUACACAUAAAUUAAAUAUUAGAUCAAGAGAUAUUAUCACAACUUUUUAUUAAUAUAAAAAUGUGAACAAACAAGCACUAAAAUAAAUAAUUAAUAUACAUCUUAAUAUAAUCAAAUAAGCAAAAGAGAUAGAAGGUGAGCGAAAUAUAGUAUAAAUGGAUGGAAAUACAGACGUACAGACACGGCGACACUUACAUUUUUACUGAUAUAUAUAUAUAUAUAUAUAUAUAUAUCAAGACUCAAAUAGAGAUAAUUAAUUAAGCUGAAAACAAUGCACCUACUUGAUCCACACAUUUUGUGGUCAAUUUUUCUCUUGUCCAGUGGAUCAUACUUUUUCAUAGAAGAUACAGAAACAUAAAUUUCUCCACGUCACGAGUAUCUGUGAUACCGUACGAGCACGUAAAGUUUUAAUUCUUUGUCCUACUUAAGACGAUCGUGAUUUUUUAGUAAAUAUAUUUUUCUCUUGUUUAUUUUUAAUCUAUAUAAUUUAAUUCUCAAUAUAUAUUAUUGACAUUUUUUUUAUUUUUUAUUUUUUUAAUUUAAAAUAUUAUAAAAUAUAAAUAUUAUAUUACAUAACUUUUUUAAUUGUUUUAAAAUUACUUAUUUAUUAAAUUAAAUUUUAUAAUUUUGUUUUUUAAUUUUUUUUAAAGAAAAUGAUAUUAUUAAAUAUAAUUAUUUUUGUUUUAUUAUUUAAUUUAUUUAACAUAUUUUUUAGGUGAAUAAUUUUAUUUAAAAUCUAAAUUUUCUAAUAUAAUUAUAUUAAAAAAUAUAAUUAAUUUAUUUAUGUCAUCAGAUUUAAUUAAAAAUGAGAAGACUUGAUGUUUAACAACUUAUUUAUAGAAGAACAUUAUAUUACAUUAUCAAUAAAAUACUUAAUCAAUUACACUUGACUAAAAAGAAAAACUUAAAAUAAAGAUAUGUUAGGACAAUUGUUUCUGUCAUGUCAUGUUGCCGAUAAAUUUUACAUCUUUUUUUUUUUAUUUUCUCAUUCAUUUAUUUUUUUAUUUUCUCAUUCAUUUACUUCUUUGUCUAUACGGGACUACCCUUUACCGUCAUCUCCCUCCUUGACGAGGACUUGGACGAGGACCCCCAUAGGAUUAGGACCUUUUAUCAUUCUGUUUCUCCUUACAGUCAUCUUCAAUAUAUUUUUGUUAUAAAAAAUAGUUCAUAUUUAACAUUUAUCAGUAUCUUUCGGAUAUUUUAAUCUUUUCUUUUUAUAUAUGUAAGUCAUAAAUAAUAAAAAUAUCAACUCUUAUCACUUAAGCUAGAAAUAAUUGCUAAAUAAAUAUUUUUAAAGAUAUUUUGAAUAUAAUAGUUACUAUUCUUUGAGAUUUUAUGUCUACUGCAUAAGAUAGAUGUAUCAAUUAUUUGUUUACUGUGUUCUUUAAUUUAUUUUAAUAUUACUAACUAAUUUUUUUUAAUUAACAAACAUAACAAAAAAAUAUCAAUAACACAUAAAUUUAACUACAAAAAUAUAUACAAAAUAACUAAAAAAAUAUACUCUAAUUUUAUCCAAUUUUUUUAUUUUUCUUUAUCUGUAUAUUUUUUCUUUAAAAAAAUAAAAAACAAAAUUAUAAAAUUUUAAAUUUAAUAAAUAAGUAAUUUUAAAAUCAAUUAAAAGAAUUAUAUAAUAUAAUAUUUUAAAUUUAAAAAGAAAACAAAAAAAUAAGAGAAAAAAUCCCAAGUAGUGUAUAUUAAAAAUUAAAUUAUAAAGUAAUGUAAAUUGAAAAAAAAAAUAGAAAAGAAAAAAAUAUAUUUACGAAAAAAACCACGAUCGUUUAUAUUUUAACAAUUACAGGUUUUAAAUGUUCAGUCAUUAAUAUUUUUUUUUCUUUAUGUCUCUUUCCUAAUCAUAUUCCAUCCUCAAUUAAAUCAAUUAUUUAUUUUCAUUUUUUCCUUUUUCUCUUAUAUAACUAAAGAAUUAUCUAAGUAACAUUUUUCAUUUAACACACACCACCCAAUUGCAAGUUUUGCUUAAUCAAAUUCUCUUCAUAGUCAUACAUCAUCAUAAAUGAAUAAAUAAAUAAAUAUAAAUAUAUGCCAUCGAUUUCUGUGUCUUGUUUCUUUUUCUAUUCUGACUUUAUGUGUCUCAUAUGUGCGCCUUCUCUGUGCUAUAUUCAUCUCAGUUCAAAGGUUUGUUUCUCUCCUAUUAUCGAUUUGCCUAACUUGUAUUGUUUUUUGUCGAAACCAUCACACUUUACAACUCAACUAUUAUGAUUUUCCUGUUGUUUAUCCCUUCAUCUUAUUCAUCUUUCAUGGAGGACCACACCCCAUUUCUCUAGCACUGAUUAAACAAUAAUCUUUGAUUUUUUUGGUCCUCCGGUCAUCCUUGAUGUGUUCACAGGAGGUAUGCUCUGGUAUUUUAUAUGACUUAAUUAGUUCAUUUUAAAUGAAUUUAAUUUAAUUUACCAAAUUCAGUAAUGAAAUUGAAUCAGCUAAAUUCAACCAUGUAUGAGGUUUCUUGUAGAAUUAGCAUGCAGCCAACCAUAUGCUUCUUAGAAUCUUAGUGACAACCUGUAGAUGAAGUGUGUCAUAUCUUUAUCAUUUGUUGUUUCUGUUAACUGAUGAUGAUCUACUCUGUAAGUUGUAACUGUAAUAUAGUAACAUUCCUUAUUUCAUGUUCCUCUUCCAACCCUAAUUGCUUUAUCUUUCUGGUCAUCCAGUGGCUAGUAUAGAAGAACCAUAAGCACUGAGGGAAAAAGUGAUUAGUACUUUAGCCAACAAAUUAAAAAUGGCUGUCACCAAGGUCUACAUUGUGUAAGUAUAUUUUCCACUGCUACUUGUUGCAUUUUCUUUAUCGUGCUGAAUGCAGAUAUUCCAACUCAACUACUCAAGCAUUCAUCAACCAUAAAUUUGAAUUUGAUGGUGUUAUGACCCUUUUGAUCACAUCAAUUUUUGCAGGUAUUACUCCUUAUAUGGACAUGUAGACACCAUGGCUAGAGAAGUACACAGAGGGGCUGCUACAGUUGAAGGUGUUGAAGCAACACUUUGGAGGGUAAUUAAUUUUUUCAAUCAGUUAGGGUGUGGAAGUGUGCAGCAAAUAUUUGGAUGAUGGGGUCCAGUGAUUUUAAAUUGCGGUUGUGGUUGCACUGUAAUUGGCAAAAUUGCAGACAAAUGUAGCAGCAAUUGCAUGCCCUAUGUGUUAUAGAGACCCCAAAAACCACAAUAAUUAGGCUGCAAUUGCAGUUGUGAAUACCAAUCUUUUCAAUUGGGUCUCUUCUCAGUUAGGACCCUUACAAUCUUGGUUAAUAGUUUAUUUUUGGUUUUCUGAAAACAGGUACCUGAGAUGCUUUCGGAACUAAUAUUGGAUAAGUUGAAGGCCCCUCCUAAACCAAAUGAUGUACCAGACAUAAUGCCAGAACAACUUGUGGAGGCUGAUGGUUUGAUAUUUGGUUUUCCUUCUCGUUUUGGGAUGAUGCCGAGCCAGCUCAAGGCCUUCUUUGAUGCAACUAGUGAGCUAUGGGCAUCCCAAGCACUUGCCGGCAAACCUGCUGGAAUCUUCUGGAGUACUGGUUUUUAUGGUGGAGGCCAAGAACUAUCAGCGUAAGUAUCACCUUGAAAUUUUCUCAAAAUGUUUAAUUUGGUUCUUCUCACAUUAAUAGAAAAGAAAACAACCAUUUUUCUGUAACAUUGUAGUAUUAAUGUUAAUAAAUUGGAUCCGUCCUCAAUACAAUUAUCGAUCAUGCAUUAGAGCUAGGUGUCAUUGCUUGGCUUGACUUUCUAUAAUGUGAAUCGCUAGCAGUAUGAAUUAAUUGCAUCAAUAAGUCUCAUAUGGUUUCUGUUAUGAAUUAUGAUCAUACAGGGUUAUGGCCACUUGAUUUUAGUUUUCACUUCAGUUUCCUGGUUAUGUCUUGGUUGCAGAUUGACAGCUAUAACUCAAUUAGCUCAUCAUGGUAUGCUUUUUGUUCCUCUUGGAUACACCUUUGGAAGUGGCAUGUUUGAGAUAGAUGAGGUAAAAGGAGGAUCUGCAUAUGGUGCUGGAACUUUUGCAGGAGAUGGAUCUCGUCAACCUACAGAACUAGAACUGCAGCAGGCAUUUUACCAGGGUAAAUAUCUUGCCGAAGUAACAAAAAAGCUGAAAAGCUAACUUCUCUGCCUAACAAAUACAUGACAGGAUACUAUGAACUGUGAUGUGCUACAUUAUCUAUAACAUUUGAUUGAAGACUCGAUGAUUAUUUUUACCGGUAAGACAAGAUAGAAAGACCUCAUGUGGCUUUUCUUUUUCUGGGUUCUGUUGUUGCAACAAUGUAUAUCUUCUGUUAUCUCUUUCAGAAAACUCUCAAAUUAUUCCAAUGAAAUGAUAAACAAGAUAUUCAGUAUUUCCAAAGGCGGAAGAAAAAUGUACACAUUUUCAGAAUUGUGUGUGUGUGUGUGAAUUAUUAAAAUCUUUUACAGGGAAAUAUUGCUUAAUCCAUUUAGAGAAUAGUAGUUUUAUUGUCUGAAAUUGAGGAGUCUCCUUGGCUCUUCGCUGAUGUAGACAUUCUAAUGAGAUUAUUCUUGGGCAAUCUUUGUUAAGUAGGUGAAAACAGGGCUAAUCAAUCAUGGCAACCGUUAAAUAAAAUUACCUAUCUUUCAUUUCAUUAUGAUUUAAUUCCCUACGUGAUAUCAUAAUUCUGUCACUGUUCUUGUAGAACUUCAUUUUAAGGUCUGUAAUGGUUUCGUUUGAUCAUCAUGGCUUCAAAAACGUCAUCUCUUUCAAAUGAUUAACAUAAAUUUUUCCAGGAUCCUCUUCUGACUAUUAAGAUCAAAUCUUAAAAAUUAAAUAAUCAUAACAAUUUGGCGGAGUUUAGCAGCUUCAGCACGAAAUAGAAUCAUUUAGGACAUGACUAUCAAUAACUGAAGUUCACAACCAAAUAGUAACCAAAACUCUUGCAUUUUUUUGUCUCUUGCUAUAUGUCCCCAACUUCUUUUGAGCGCGGGACUGAUUUUUGCGUAUCUAAUUGCUUGGCCUAAUAUUGUUGGUGAGACUUAGAAUGCAUUCCAAGCUUGUUGAAAAAUAAAACUAGUAUCAAAUUAGCAUAGUACAAGUAAUUGAGUUAUAACAUUUUUUUUUCAAUUUAGAGAGCAUUACUUUUGGGUGCAACCGAAGAGAGUUGUUUACGCAUAUAUUUUAUAAUUUAAGCAUGGUCUUUCCUUUUUUUCUUGAAAAGCAUUUAAGCAUGGUCGUCACUAUUAAAUAUGAAUUAGUUUUAGUAGAAUCAUACCAAAUUGCAACCAACAAAGAUCAACGACCAAUUUGCAUGCAGUAGAAGGGAUUAUAAUGGAUGUAUAACUCUAGCGAAAUAUUAUUUUGUUCUGAAACUAUUCAAUGUUUUAUCCUUGUGUUGUGCUGGAUAGUUUAUCAUCCCUUAACAGUGCAUUGGUAUCUUUAUACUCAUUGGAUGAAUUGUUAAAAGCUAACUAACAACUUUAAUUUUAGGAUUACUCACAUAUACCGUGAAGGCAAUGCUUGUGCUAACAUGCUUGUUUCAUAUGGUGCACAGUCUUUUAGGUAUACUUGGUGGGAUUCUCCACCAUCUUUUGUUGAUCAAGAGCUUCUUAGGUACAGGCUAGGGCUUCUUUUUUAUGGGUUUCCUUAGUCUCUUCUUUUGGGUUCGGUUUGGCCCCCUCAAUUGUACUGUUUCUCUCAGUUUUAUAAUAUUAAUAUAUUUAGUGAUGGUGUUUUUGGAGUUUAGGGGUUGCGGUGCCAACAUAGUUGGGAUGCCAACCUCUUUUGUUCCUUAUCCUCUACCAUAUCUUUUGCCGUUUUAAGACAAGCAAGCCAAUCUAUUUGAAACUCAAUAACUUGUUAAUUGUAUUGUGCUGGAUAGUUUAUCAUACCUAAUAAAGCUAAUGCACAAAUAAUAAGUGUUUAUGUGGCUGAAUAAGAAUGUUGAAAUGACACUAUAUCAGUCCACAUUUUAGAAUUUAUAAAUAGAUGCUUCAAAGCAAUUUCAAAUUGAAUUAUCUUUAUAUAACAGAAAAACAGAAGAUCGUAAUACGUAUCAUUUGAUUCCAAUAAUAAACAAAUUUUUCAAGUAAAAUGCUGAUAGUUAUAAACUGGUAUACGAAAACUCUUACUCAAAUGCAUGAUAUUCACGCCCGGCCUCAAGCUACAGAGAAGGUCAGAUGCAUGUUGACUCAUGCCAAAGUACUCAAAUAUUUUUUGGGGGUGAAAGUGUGAAAACAGCAGUUGGUUUGAUAAAUCUCUCGCCAUCAAGACCUGUGGGUGGAAAGAUUCCAUAGGAAAAUAUGGUCUAGAAAAAAUGCAUUUUACAACCACUUGAAAGUAUUUGGAUGCCGAAGCUUUGAGCACAUUCUCAAGGAUGAGAGAAUGCAGUUGGAUGCUAAAGCCAAGGAAUGAAAGUAUUUUGGUUCUCCAAAUGAUAAUUUUGGCUAUUGUAUUUGGAAUAAGAAUCUCUCACAAUCAAACGAUUAAAAAGUUUGAGCAAAUAAGAACUUAGAAGCCUCAAACUAAACCAACAAGAUAUGGUGUGGUUGAGAGAUAAUCUUGUCCCUUAAGCAAGUUAUCAGAAAUUUAAUCUCUAUCCAUGCGUAUGAAAAAACAUUUGUCAUAAGAAAUUAGUCCUUUAAAUGUAUGUCAGUACCUCAAAUAAUUCGUCCUUCGCUGAGAGCCAAGGGAUACCCCAUGUUCAACAAAAAAAAAGGCUCAAACUAAUUGGAAUGAUAGUCAAAUUCCUAUGGUACACACUAACAACUUAAGCUCAUAAACUUGGUUAUUAUUUACAACCGUCACAAUCCAAAAAAAAUGAAAUUAAAAUUUUUUAUUAAGAGGAACAAAAAUACUUGCAUCAUUUGGAUCUUUUUCAAUCAUCAGAGAGGAAAACGUAUCAAAUGAAAAAUAUUGAAAAAUUAUACUCAAUACAGUCUAAAUAUUCACUUUAAGCAUAUUCAUUCCUAAAUUAUAAAGAAAAUACAAAGAACAAUCAGCAGUGAAGACAAUCCGUUAAGAAAGCUUUGGCAAGAAAGGACAUGGACAAUGUUUGGUUUAUCAUAAUAAACUUGACUCAUAUGGUACACUUCCAGCUUUUGCUUGUGGUAUUGUUGUUGGGUUGGGUUACAAGUGUGAGGUGAAGUCCCACAUCGGGUAAAAGUGGAAAGGUUGAACACCAUAUAAGUGAGGAGAAGACCCAUAAACCUGAGCCUUAAGGUUUUGGGUUAGAGUGUGGUGUCAGGUCUCCUUAUGUGGUGACUCGUGGUCCACAAGUGUUAUUAUCACUAGCAACAAAUCAAGAUUGAUCACUUCUUCAAUUCGAUGUAAAAAAUACUUUUUUUAUAUGGAGAUUUAAUGAAAGAAGUUUAUCAUCAAGGGUGUGUUGACUAAAAGAGAUUAAAAAUACCAUAGUGGAUAGUAACAAAUAACAAAAUAUACCAACCAUCGGCAUUGUUUAUCAUCAGGGGGCAGAACACGAGCAUUUACUGAAACCCAUUUGAGUAGUCACUUCAAUAUGAUCUCAAAGGUAUAAAAAAAUGUUGUUUAUCAUCAAGGGGGCAGAACAGGAGCAUUUACUGAAACCCAUUUGAGUAGUCACUUCAAUAUGAUCUCAAAGGUAUAAAAAAAUGUUGAACCCCAAAAACGAAGAAAAAAAUCCAUUUAAUAAUAAAAAAAGAGCGACAGACAGGUGUGCCAACAAAGCAAAACCAAUGAAAGAGAAAGAAAAAAAUAAAAAUUCAAAUUACUGAAUUGGUGUUUUUGUCGCAAGUUUUGCAUAGCACUGCCAAUGAAAGAGAGAAAAUAAAAAAUAAAAAAUUCAGGUUCUCAAAAACUGUACGCAACUAGAAACAAUGGCUGAGAUGAAGAAGAAAGCAGAACUGAUCUUCUUUCCCAUACCGGAGAUUGGCCACUUAGCUUCAUUCCUCGAAUUAGCACAACUCCUAAUCAACCAUCAUAACCAUCUUUCCAUCACAUUCCUCUGCAUGAAACUCCCUUACGCUCCCUCUUUAGAUGCAUACAUCAGAUCAGUUAUAGCCUCACAACCUCAAAUUCAAGUCAUUGAUCUCCCUCAAGUAGAACCACCUCCACAGGAACUAUUGAGACCACUAUCACACUACAUCUGGUCCUACUUGCAGACCCUCAAACCCCAUGUCAAAGGUAUAGUGCAAAACAUUUUAUCAUCUCAUUCUAACCCCAUUAUCGGGUUGCUCCUAGAUGUCUUUUGUUCACCCUUGAUUGAUGUGGGAAAUGACUUAGGCAUCCCUUCUUAUUUGUAUAAUUCUUCAAAUGUUGGAUUUUUUAGUCUCAUGCUUUCCCUUCAGAAGCGUCAGAUUGGUUAUGUGUUCAAUGAUUCUGAUCCUGAGUGGUUGAUUCCGGGGCUCCCUGAUCCUGUUCCUUCAAGUGUUUUCCCUGAUGCUCUUUUUAACAAAGAUGGAUAUGCUACUUAUUAUAAACAUGCUCAGAGGUCCAAAGACUCCAAAGGGAUUAUUGUUAAUUCUUUUUCAGAGUUGGAGCAGAAUCUUAUUGAUGCAUUAUGUGAUGAUCAAAGCCAAACACCUCCUAUCUAUGCUGUUGGUCCAUUGAUUGAUCUCAAAGGUAAUAAAUCUAACCCAACUUUAGAUCAAGGUCAACAUGACAGAAUCUUGAAAUGGCUAGAUGAGCAGCCAGAUUCUUCUGUUGUUUUUCUAUGUUUUGGGAGUAAGGGAAGCUUUGAUCCAUCUCAAACUAGAGAAAUAGCACUAGCGAUUCAGCAUAGUGGUGUUAGGUUCUUGUGGAGUAUACAUUCUCCGCCAACCACAGACAUUGAAGAGAGAAUCUUACCAGAAGGGUUCUUAGAGUGGAUGGAGGGUAGGGGAAUGCUAUGUGAGUGGGCACCCCAAGUAGAGAUUCUAGCCCACAAAGCCAUUGGGGGGUUUGUGUCUCAUUGUGGAUGGAACUCUAUUUUGGAAAGCAUUUGGUUUGGGGUAUCAAUAUUGACAUGGCCUAUCUAUGGAGAACAAAAGAUGAAUACUUUUAGGAUGGUGAGGGAAUUUGGAUUAGCAGUGGAGCUGAAACUGGACUAUAGAAGGGGUAGUGAUCUUGUUAUGGCAGAGGAGAUAGAGAAAGGGCUGAAACAAUUGAUGGACAGAGACAAUGUGGUGCACAAGAAUGUGAAAGAGAUGAAAGACAAGGCAAGGAAAGCUGUCCUUACUGGUGGGUCUUCUUACAUUGCUGUUGGAAAACUAAUUGAUAAUAUGUUGGGAAGCAACUGAUAAGUGAUAGCAUAGUUGUUGUAUUUUAAUAAAUGGAGUUGCCCCUUUCUAUUAGAUGGAUAUUUAAAUGGUUGCAGUUUGUGUAUGACAAAUUUACUUGAGCAAUUAUGAAUGUUCUUCUGUUCUGCGUUUUCUUUGGAUGGUUUAUACCAAAUUGUUCUUUCACAUCUGAAUGGGAAAUAGAAUGGAUUAACCUCGAUAAAUACGACAAUUGUGACUAUUAAAGUUUACAAACUCAAACCUUUUAAAUUUAAGUCUAGUGAUUUGGAUUUCAAGUAAGAGUAAAACCUUUUACCUAUGUAUAUGCGUGGGCCUUCUCUUUUUAGCAGAAAUGGGUGGAAUGUAUAAGAGUGUUGCUAGGUGCACCCAGCAUUUCAAAAAAAUGAUAAAAUUGUUCUUUCUUGAUUUUUCUCUUACGGAUCAAGUUGAUCCAGAAGUCUCUUCCGGAUUAAGACUUCCGGAUCAACUUGAUCCGUAAGAAGAAAAAUAAAAAUUUUGUUAAUUAUACAAGAUAUUUAAAGAUAUUUAUUUUAUAAUAUAAUUUAUACAUUUAAAGAUAUUUAUUUCAUUAAUUAUAAUAUAAUUAAAUAUAUUUAUUUAUUUUAUUAAUUAUAAUAUAUUUAUAAAUAUUGAUUUAUUAUAAAUAAUUAAUGCUAAUCAAUCAUAAUUUACUAAAAGAGGAUAUAUCUAUAUGAUUAUAUCAAUAUAUAAUCAUAAUUCAUGCUAAUCAAUCAAUCAUGCUAAUCAAUCAUAAUUCCCUAAAAGAUGAUAUAUCCGAGAAAACUGAAUCUAAUUCAAUCAUAAUUAGCAUGAAUUGUGAUUAUAUAUAGAUAUAUCCUCUUUUAGGGAAUUAUGAUUGAUUAACAUGAUUGAUUGAUUAGCAUGAAUUAUGAUUAUGAUUGAUUGAUUAGCAAAAUAAAUAUCUUUAAAUAUAUUGUAUAAUUAACAAAAUUUUAUUUUUCCUCUUAUGGAUCAAGUUGAUCUGGAAGUUACGGAUCAACUUGAUCCGGAAGAGACUUCCGGAUCAACUUACAAAUCAACUUGAUCCGUAAGAAGAAAACCAAACAAGGGCAAUUUUGCCAUUUUUUUAGAAUGCUGGGUGCACCAGCAAUAGUGCUGGGUGCACCUAGCAACACUCAAUGUAUAAUGUCAAGCAAGAGGUACCAGCUCAAGCAAAAUAGUUAUUAGAAAAAAAUAAUAAUAAAGAAUGCAGGAGUGAAACCAACCAAAAAAGACGACAAUCUCAUGCUCCUAGUCCUACACUCUUGUCAAAGAUGGACUCAACCAGAGAAAGAGAAACUACAAAAGUUAUCACUAAUGAACUUGGGUGAUGUGUUUCAUUUAAAGUCAAGUGUGCAUACAUAUCUAGUGAAUUGUGGUGUUUUUCACCCCUGAAAAAUCUCCCAAAUGGGAGAAUUAAACCAAACUCUCAAAGUAGGCACUAGGCUGAUGGACUCGACUUUUCUUAGCUAAAAUCCUCAAUUUAUGUCGCAGGAGUUCCUGAAUCGUUUUAAAAGGCAUUGACGAAUGUUGCAUUUUUUUUUUAUCUAUAAACAACUCCUAGUCAACAUUAAUAAAAUGGGAAGAAAAUAAAUGAAAUAUAAAAAACCCACAACCAAGCGUUCUACAAUAUAAUACUUGGAAUCAAGUUUUGCAUCUUGGACCAGCACCGUAAAAAUUGGAAGCUUAGAUAUGCCAAAGCAUUUCGCUUUUUGCUACCUGUAGAGAAGAUAGCAUCAAAUAUCAAAUAUAGAGAAUUCAUGGUACAUUAGCAUUGGUAGUAGGAGACCGUUGAACCAAACAAAAUAUUUUAUCAUACACGUCAAAAGGAAGAUUAUCACUGCUCUCAUAGCAGUGUAAAUCAUGAUAAACAAAAUGACCUUGGAAAUAUUAGAAGCUUUGAAUCACACAGUUCAGGUUAUCAAAUGGUGUUCAACUUAGUCUAAUACUCGUUUCUCUCCACGACAAAGGAAUGACAUGCCAUAUCCAGACCUUGAUACUGCCCUUUCUUGACCCUUUCUAUUCUCUCCUGUCAAAAGCAUAUCUUUCUUUUGACUCUGUUUGAUUGCUAUAGUUUCUAUACGAUCUUUUAUCUUGCUUCCUAUCAUAAUCUUCUCUUGGCUUUGGUGCAGAUUCACCUUCACUGUGCUUUCGUGAUUUCCUGUCUUCACUGUAUCCAUGAGGUUCUCUUGACUUGCUUACAAUAUCAUCAUUAUCCCUCCUCCGGGAUCUUUUAUCUUCCCUUAUAUCAGAAUCUCUCGACUUUGGUUCAACUUCAACAUCAUCUGGCUUUAUUGACCUUUUCUCUUCCCUUAGGUGAUGAUCUUUUGGCUCAAGCUUCAUACCAUCAUAAUCAUCCCUUCUUGAUCCUUUUUCUUCUCUCUUGUAUCGAUAUUCUCUAAACUUAUGUUCAAAUUCAUCAUCUUCAUGCCUUCUUGAUCUCUUUUCUUCUCUUCUACUGUUAUUUUCUCUCCCAUCAAAUUUGUCAUCAUCUUCAUGCCUUCUUGAUCUAUUCAGUUCUCUUUUACUGUUAUUUUCUCUCCCCUCAAAUUUGUCAUCAUCUUCAUGCCUUCUUGAUCUCUUUUCUUCUCUUCUACUGUUAUUUUCUCUUCCCUCAAAUUUAUCAUCAUCAUCAUCAUGCCACCGCUUUGUCAUCUCUUUUCUAUCACUUCUCUUAGGUUGGUUGUCUAAUUCAGCAUCAUUGUUGCGGGCCCUAGAAAAUGAAUCUCUGUCUCUAGUUUCUGCAAUAUGAUUUGAUUGAUUGUUGCCAGAUCUUCUUUCUUUUUUGGGACCAUCAAAUUUGUCAUGACCCCAUUUUGGUUUGUCUUCCUCACGACCCCAACCUGUAUUUGCAGCUCUCUGGAUAAAGGAAACAAAGACAGUCAAAAAUAUGAAAAGGUAGCUACAUAAAUCUUCAGAAUCCGACCAAAUUUUAUUCCAAAAUUCAGCACAUUAUAUAACAUAUACACAACUUCAAAAGUUCAACUAUAAGCAAAGCAAAAAUGACGAGAAAUCAUCAAAGCAGAGAACAUGCACAAUAGAGCAGCAAACAAUUAUGGGUAAAUUACAAUGUCCUUUCCAUCAGAUAUAUUUAAAUUACAAUGUCCUCCCUCUAAUUUUGAUAAUUACAUUUGUCUCCCUGAGAGAUGCAUAUAUAUUACAUUUUAGUCCAUUUUAAUAUAAAUUAACCUCUUAAUGGGGAUGAACAACUAUAAAUGAACCUCAAGCUCAAGUACUCCACGACUUCCAAUGUCACCGGCAACUAAUUUUAAAUACAAUAUUAUUAAUCUCAGGAUCUUAAAAAAUGAAAUGCUAGAUUUUUCAUAUAAAUACCAGCAGUUUAGAAUUUUCUUAAUUUUUACCACUGAACAUUGAACAAAAGUAAUAUAAAACUUGUUAAUCAAGAGGGAAAUUUUCUUAAAUAAAGAAUACAUUUUUUAUCAUUUAACAACAACAACAACAACAACAACAACGCCUUAUCCCACUAGGUGGGGUCGGCUACAUGGAUCAACUUCCGCCAUAAUGUUCUAUCAAGUACCAUACUUCUAUCCAAACCAUUAAUU